UUUUUUUUUGUUGUACUACUAUAGUAGCCUAGGCUAGUCAUAGUGGAAAGUAACUUGGACUAGUAACUCUAUGGUUACCCUAAGAGCAAGUACUACCUCCGUCCUAGUUUACUCUUCCAAUUUUGUAGUAUCAAAAUUUGACCACAGAUUUAACUGACAAAAUGUUAAUGCAUGUCACUAAGAACUACAUCGUUGGAUUAGUAUUUGGACAUAAUUUCAAAUGGUAUAAUUUUUAGUGACAUGCAUUGGCAUUUUCUUAGGUAAAUCUAUGGUCAAAAUUUUAUACUAAAUACGAGGUUGUACAAAAGUGGGCUAUAACGGCCCUCCACUAUGUAGGCCAAAACACGUGCCAAAUUCACUUGUGAUGCAUUUGGCAUAGAUGCCCUUCCAUUGCUCACCUAGUGCCCCAAUCUGGAUCACCUACUUUGCUCCGGUGCCAAAUUAACUCACGCAAUGAAAAAAACACUUGUGUGGGAGAGAGAGAGGACCGAGGCAAUAAAAAAACACUUGUUCGGGAGAGUGAGAGGUUGGUGUAGUUGGUUUGAUUGAUUUGCUUAUACAUGUGGGUCUGUGUGCACAGCGGUGUCAACUCUAUCACAUCGCGAGAGCGGUGCCAAAAUCUUUUGAUUUGACGUUGAUGCGUAUUAUGUGGCAUACUUUUGAGAAAUAUGGCAUCGGCCACAUAGUGGAAGGCAACAAAUGCCCAAGCUCUUCACGUGCUCCUAGGUAAAUGAGAGGAAAGAGAAAGAGCGAGAGUAAAAAAAUCACUAGCUAGCCAACCCUGUCGUAUGAGCGAAUGAUAUUGGUACCUCUUGAUGACACGGAAAUCUUAUACAGCCAGCUGCUCUAAUAUGUUCUCUUCUUUUGCAGAUAAGAAAAGACCCGAAAGUGAAAAUUUGCUUCACUAUAACAAUCUCAUCGAAUGCCUUGAUCUCCAUCUUACAGAAAUUGAUUUGAUCGAAUACCAAGGCGGAACAUAUGAGAAUAAAUUGGUCAGGUUCUUUGUUCUGGAGGCAAGUGUGCUCAAGGUAAUGAGGUUUGGCGAUCUCUGGUGCAACGAUGAAUGGUGUGCUGAUCACCGCAAGCGUCUAAGCCUGAAUGACAAAGUCUCUGCAGAAGCUGAAUUUGUUCUUGAAACAUCAAGUGGCCAGAGACUAGAAAACUUAUUUUCCCAUAAGUGACUUGUCAGGGCGGUGGAUUUUAGUUUGUACGAUAAUGCUGCAUCCACCCUAAGUAACGAAAGUUCUUACGUAAACUUUCUAGUAAUUCCCUCUUCGUAGGUGCAGCAUCACUCCUAACAUUUGUAAUAUCAGUUUGAAACUUGUAAUAUUCUCGUGUCCUGUUCCUGCAUUUUCAAAAUCCUGCGAAUCAAACAGAUCCUGAGUUGGUGAUGAUGUUGUGCCUGCCAUCUUUCACCAAUAGCCGUCGGAUCUAGAUUUGACGCAUACAAACCAAACUUAUCUAGUUUUUCAAAAAGAUGCAUGCACUUGUUCCCUAUUUGCAAACAACUCCUUAUCUCUCACAAUCAGCCUUAUCUCCUCCCCACCACAUCUAGAAGGCCAUGGAAAAAUCUGGCGCGAUGGCCGCUGCUGGCGCCGUCCACCCCCCAGUCUUGGUGUUCCGUGCAAUGCACGGGUGUCGGUGUCAAAACCGGCGGAUCUCGGGUAGGGGGUCCCGAACUGUGCGUCUAGGUGGAUGGUAACAGGAGACAAGGGACACGAUGUUUUUACCCAGGUUCGGGCCCUCUCGAUGGAGGUAAAACCCUACUCCUGCUUGAUUAAUAUUGAUGAUAUGGGUAGUACAAGAGUUGAUCUACCGUGCGAUCAGAGAGGCUAAACCCUAGAAGCUAGCCUAUGGUAUGAUUGUUGUUCGUCCUACAGACUAAAAAUCUCCGGUUUAUAUAGACACCGGAGAGGGCUAGGGUUACACAGAGUCGGUUACAAUGGGAGGAGAUCUUCAUAUCAUAUCGCCAAGCUUGCCUUCCACGCCAAGGAAAGUCUUAUCCGAACACGGGACGAAGUCUUCAAUCUUGUAUCUUCAUAGUCCGGGAGUCCGGCCAAAGGUCAUAGUCCGGCCAUCCGGACACCCCCUAAUCCAGGACUCCCUCAGUAGCCCCCAAACCAGGCUUCAAUGACAAUGAGUCCGGUGCGCAAGUUUGUCUUCGGCAUUGCAAGGUGAGUUCUUCUCCAAAUUCCAUGUACCUGUCGGAUAGUGUCCGGCUUCUGGCGUGUGUUGCUCUCCUCAACUUCUGUGCCCAAUAAUGACCAUCUUCCACGUGUCAAACGAAUGCGAAAAGCCAGGGUUUUAUUUCAUUUACCCCCCCCCCAGCCGCGUAAAUGAGCCGCCCAUAAAAGAGAUGGGGGUUUAGAUCCAAUUCACACCACCUUCCCUCCGCGAGUAUUCAUCAGAGCGCUUUCGACAGAGAUCCAUUCCACCAUGGUCGGUCGAAGCAGCUCCUCCUCUCGCCCCUCCAGCCCUCGGCCCGGAGAUUGGGAGCGGUGUUCCGUCCCGCAUAGCAAGUUAGUAGUGCUUCAAUCCAAGGGGCUCCUCCCCGGGCAUAUAUGGUCCCAGUUCGAGCCGGGAUCGCCACCUAUAGCGGCGGAGAGCAGGCGGAGAGCGUCCCCAAUCCCUCUCAAGGAGAGCGGGUAUGCCUAGUCCCUUAUUUAAUAAGAGGACUCGGAUUUCCAAUUCAUCCGUUUCUCCGAGGGCUACUGGAGUUCUACGGCCUCCAGCUACACCACCUCACGCAUGCCUCCAUUCUGCAUGUUGCGGGCUUCAUGGCCCUCUGCGAGCUGUUUUUGGGCAUCGAGGCCCAUUUCGCCCUGUGGAAGAGGUUGUUCUGCCUUGUGCCCCGCUCUGAGGAGGGGUCAAUUUACCAAGUGGGCGGAGCCGAACUAUGGUGCAUCACCGGGACCGGAUAUCUGUCUGGUACCCCAAAGAGGCGUCCAAGGACUGGCCUUCGGAAUGGUUUUAUAUGGCUGACGUCCCCCUUCCGGACCCUGUAUGGAUCGGCCUCCCUGAGUUUAACAACGCUCCAUUGAAGAAAUGCCUGAGCUGGCGCCCACGAAACCCUCAGAGGGAAACUGACAGGGACGUCCUUUACCUGAUGAGCUGGAUAAGAUUGUUGGCUCAUUCCGGAUUGACCAUGAUCGAGGUCAUGGCCACAUGCAUUACGCGGGGGGUGCAGCCGCUUCAGUACAGAGGCCACCCCAUGUGGGAUUUCAACGGGGAGGACUACGCCACUCGGUGCGGUGGCAAGGGGCCGGACUCGGCCGCCACCCUAAUGAAGAUCUUAUCCGCUUUGUACAAGGGAGAAGAAGAGGAAUUCCUCCGUGUCAACCCACGGGGUGGAUUCUCCAUGUACAGUCCUCCAAGCUGGGUGAGCGAACACUUUCACUUGUCUACCCGCUUUCGAAAUUCCCAAAAUUGAGUACUUAGCUUAGCGACGUUAACGCAGGAGCUGCGCUAGACUGUGAAGGAGAUAAACAGCCCCCCUCCGCAACCCGAGGACCCAGGACGGUCCCUCGAUCCGAACUCCCAAGAGGAUCUGAACUUAUGUGUGGAGUUAAUUGACGGGGUGUUUCAUCAAUUGAGUAAGGACAACACCUUAGUGGCCAUUACGGUCGACUAUCCCGGACUACUUCCGGCCUCAAAGGUAACCGAGACCGAAGUCCCAGUACUUUCAAGAGGAUUCAUCCAUGCUUUAUUUUGAUUGUCGUCAACCAAUAGUUUUUUCACUUUGCAGGGGAAAUCCUUGAGGCGGAGGGCCGAGCCCACGGUGGGUAGCCAACAAAGGCAAUUGAAGCCAGGUGGGCUAAAAAGAAGUGCAGAACGGAUUGAGAUUCCGGCGCAAGGGUACGGCGUGCAAUUUUAACGCCUAGGGUUUAUGCCCUCAUGUCACACUAACGCCCAUGCUCUCCUUAGGAGGAAGAGCGCCUGCCGGACUAUAUCCACCGGCCAGGCUUCAAGGCCGGGUCCGGAAGCGGAGGCGAACACGGGGGGGGGGGCACACCGGAUGCUCCUCCGACAGAGGACGCGGACGGGCUAUCUGCCACCAAUUCAGAGGUGGAGAGUGCCGUGAACCACAGGCGUCGCUGGGCUGUUCUUCGUGACGCAUGUUUUUCCCAAGAGGCGUUGCACGCCUUUAAUACGGGAGAUGCGUAUCUUCGUGCCGCUCAAAAUGGUCUAGCCAGAGCCACAGAGCAGUAUGUGAAAGACAUACGGGUGAGUAAAUCUGAUGGUUAUAUAUGUUAGUAGCCCCCCAGACUUGAAACAGUUAAGAUAACUGAUUUAAGUAUCAUAUGUUAUACAGGAUCUUUCAAAGAAGAACACGCAACUAUCCCAGGAGCUGGAAGAGUGCAAGGCCCAACUCGAGGCCGCACUGGCCGCUUCAGAGAAUGCCAAGGGUACCCCCUCAGGUAAUGUAUGCUUCGAAAGAUAAUUCUGCUGUGAAGUGCGGCAUAUGUGCAAUUUUGACAAUAACAGUGCAGAUGGGGCCGGAGUGAAUCCGGACAAGCAGCAACUCCUACGCCAGUUAAAGGCUGGUGAGAGCGUGCUGACGAGGGUGAGGCAAGAGAAGAACAAACUUCAAGAUGCCAAUACCCAGUUGGGCGAGGAACUAAAGGAUGUUCGUGCUCAGCUUUCUGACUCCGUAAAGGAGAAUCGGCGACUUCGACGCGGCAUUCUUAGUAAGUGCUUAAGCGAAUCUUAAAAAAAAGAGUUCGGCGAGGAAGUCGAUUGAUAGAGCUAUGUCUGCAGAUGUGCUGACAGGUCGUUCUGCGGAGGAGAUGCCCGGUUCAACGGGGGAUGUCGUGGAAUUGUCACGUCAGAUGUCCUUAGUGUGAGGACUUAGUCGCGAGGCCAACGCAUCUAUGUGAUAGCUUGAGAGGGGUUGAGCGGAAUCGAGAGACGCCACACAAGACAGGGAUUUAGACAGCUUCGGGCCCCGGGAAACAUCAUCCGGUCAAAACCCUACAUGCUGUUUGAGGCUAGGUCUCAUUAUCAUCACGAGGGAGUCGCCGUAAACCGGCUCUCCUCUUUGUGUCUAGCCCUAGAGAUUAUUGAUUGUUUCUUCUUGCUUGUAGCUUGUCCCUCUUUGGGGAGCCCUGCCCCUUCUUAUAUAUGUUGAAGGGGCGGUUUACAUGUGGAGUCCUAUUAGGAUUAGGACUAGUCUAUCUCUAAUACAAACCGGAUACAAGUCUUGGUCUUAACUCUUUGUAAGGUAGAUAUUCCUUUCCUCUUAAACCGGCCCACAAUAGUUGAACCGGCCUUCUAGGCCUUGGGCCUUGUCAUCCGUCUGAUCCGCCCGCCGGGUUACCAGUGAACCGUAAACCGCCAUGUCUAAGUGGGUUGCCAGUGAAUCGCCAAACUCUAGCCGGGUCAUACAUCCGGCGGUUUAUACCGCGGGGUAUAUCCCCGACAUUAGCCCCCAGUUUAAUUUGGAUUCAUCCAUGUUAAACUGAUCUGCAACAAGAACAAAUUUGUCGGGUUGUGCUCCGGUUUAAAUAUACUUGUAAGCCGGCACUUGAUCAUCCUUAAAUCCUUGUCAUUUCUUCCUUCCAAGUUAAUAACCAUCUUCAUAAUCAAUUUGCUUGCAGAAGAUAUUUGUAAAUAAAGAAUCCAUUUGAAUCGGCCUUCAAUGCUUUGACUUGACAAAAAUAUUAGUCUCUGAAAUAUUCAACUGAUAUCCAGCCGGCUUGAAGAUGUAAAACUUGCCGGUUUAUGAUUACCACCAUUGUCUGGUUAUAAAAACUGAUAAUUCCGGGUCAUGAUUGUUGCCAACACCGGUUCAUGAUUGUUGCUAAUGCCGGUUCAUGAUUAUUGAUGACGCCGGGUUACAGACACAGGGUCAUAAUGAUUGGUGACGCCGGGUUAAUCCAGUUUGCUCAAAACAGAGAAUUUGAAAAUAGUUCUUCGAUAAUAAUAUAAUACCUGUAGCCCCCAAGUCUUGAGCAGAACAAAGUGAUGGCUUAAUACUUGCUUCAAUAUAAAUACUGCCACUUAAGAAGAAAUCCAUGUUGUUCAUCCCAGUGACUAGUAAAAACUGAAUACUCCAUACUAUGUAGCCCCCAAGUGCCGGGUUAUCAUGCUUACAGCAACCUGGGACUUGCAAUUGUCUUAUACUCAUAAAAACUUCAACCAGUGUAGCCCCCAAGAGCCGGGUCAUUAUGCAAUAAUGAGCAGGGACUUUGUAGGUAUAAUCAUGUAGAUUUGAGCAAUGAUGUGUAGCCCCCAAGGGCCGGCUUAGUAAGAUAAUAUUGAGCUGGGACUUUAAUAUAUACUUCAAUGAAAAUAACAUCAUAUGAUGUAACCCUCAUCAUGGGACUUGAAUCCACGUCCACAAGGUUAAGAGCCUUGUGCUUUACCAACUGAGCAGUGGACUCUUCAAUAUAAUGAAAAAAGCUUUGUACCUUCAACUGUUGACAGGAGCAAUUGGUAGACCCCAAGGGCCGACUCAUUAUAAUGUGAUGAAUCGGGUCUUCAAUAAUAUGAGAAGAAAAUUACUUUGCAUUAGCCCCCAAGUGUCAUGGUGCAUGCUUGCAGCGACAUGAGACUUGCAUAUAAUCUCAAUUUGAAUAAUAUAGCCCCCAAGUGCCGGGUGGUAAGCCUGCAGCGACUCGGGACUAUUCCUUCCAUUGUAGAAUAAAUCAUAUCCUUUGAUAAAAUAAUAACUGUUGCGCUAAAGCAACUUUGAAAACUCAAUAAUACCGGUUACUAAUAACCAUAAAAAUCCAGCCAUGUUGGCUAUUCAAGAUAAUAUAAUCCGGUAUGAAAAAUUCAUCCAAUAUCAUAAUGAAAAUUCAGCCAAAUUUGGCUAUUUGAAUAAUAUAACCCAAUCAUUUAUAAGCGCAUGAUUCCAAUGGCGCAAUCCAAAUAUAUACUGGCGACGUAUAGUCCAAAGCCAGGCCGGUUUAAUAAACUCCGGAUAAUUUCCCAUCAUAUACUGGCGACUUAUCGUCUUAAAGCCAGGCCGGUUUAAUAAACACCGGAUAAUUUAUCAUCAUGCUUUAUUCAACCUGUCUCUGCAUACAACAAGUUUAAAAUGUCCUGGCGGUUUACCGCCGGACGGGUCAUAAUGCCCAACAUAUAACCCAGGUUUAUAACCAAGGCUGCACUUAAGAAUAAUCAAUGAAAUAUAUCAUACCUGUGAUAUUGAAUCACAUCAUUGGUUUACCAAUUUUUUGUAGUAAGAGUGAUAACCCCAAUCUUGAGUAAUGGUAACUCCUUUCAUACUGUGCCGGUUGAUGAUAAACCGUACCGGGUUGUGAUAAACACCGGUUUAACCAUAUAUAAUACUGGCGACUCAUAGUCAAACCAAACCGGGCUGAUAGUCUCCGAAUUAUAACUUGAUCCUGUAUUGACAACUUGUAAUUGAAAGUCAAGCCGGGUUAAUGAACGCCGGUUUACUCCAUAAUAGGAUGGUAAUAGAAAAUCAAAACCGGGCAGAUAGUCUCCGGAUUAAGAUUUGACUGUGUUCCGCCAAUUUGUAUUUGAGAGUCGAACCGGAUUAACAACAUUGUCGGUUUAAAAAACGCAACAAAAAUCAAAUAACAGUUAUGAAAAAAUAUGGAAGCAAAAGCAAUGAUAAAAACCGUUUGCAAAAAUAUGCUAUACUGAGCUGAUCAGAUGGUAUUACCAUGGUCGGACAGGACCAAGCCCCCAAUAGGAGUGACAAUGAUUCAAGUCAGCCAGGUCCCCAAAUGAUUCGUGGCAUAUAUGCCAGAUCAAGAGGCGUGGCAAUGGUUCGGGUUCGACCAAGCCCCCAAGUGAUUUUGUGGCCUUAGGCCGACCAAGAGGCGUGACUGGUUCAGACUUGACCAUGUCCCCAAGUGAUCUGGUGGCUGUCGCCUAUCAAAAGGUGUUGCGUUGGUUCGGACACGACCAAGGCCCCCAGUGAUGUAUAAAAAGCAAAUGUCAAGGGGUAAACCGGAGUCCGCUUUAAAAACAGAGCCACUCCAUGUAACCACGCAUGAUAAGAAAGACAGAGACCCCGCUUUAUGAAGCAGAAGCCCCCAUGUGAUCAAUAAUAUGUUAGGCCAAUAAGGCAGGAUACCCAUGUUUGAACCGCGCAUCAUGGCAGCAGGUCCUCUUUGGUAAUUUUUAACUUUUUUGCAAGAGAUAAAUUCUUCUUGAACCGGGAUCUUCAUUUUCAGUCAGGAAUUUUCUGAUGGCCUUUCAACUCGAACUUGCGAGAAAUUAAUUCCUUUUUGAACCGGACAUUGUUAAACCGGAUUUGAGAGCUUCAAAGCUUCGUGCGAGACAAAUUCCCCUUGAACCGGAUUGUAAACCGGAUAUUUGAGAGCUUCAGUGAGACUGACUUCCCUUGAACCGGAUAGUAAACCGGAAUCCUUUCUGAUGAUCCGGAACUUCUUCAUUGAGCUGGGAUUUUGUAACUGUCAUAUACUUUCUAAGCCGGAAAUUUUCUAACGGCCUUCAAAUAAUAGUAGCCUCCGGGACCGGGUUAUCUUUCCCUCCAUCGUCCCGGGGUUCUUAAAUUUGCUGAAACUGGCAAGAUUUGCUGAGUCAUGUCAUUGUAGCCCCCGAGUCUCAAAGGUGACUCGAGGAGUUGGCUUGAGACUCUCCAUAUAUGACCGUGAUGUAAACCGGCAUAAGUUGUAUAUCAUUGGUGUUGAUAGCACGAUGUGAAUCCACAGAGGGUUGAGGUGACUGCGGCGGGUUGUAAUUGAUCCCGUAUGAGCCGUGUCAGCAACUCGCCCAAUGGUUCCUUCCAACUAGUGAUUUGAAGUUAACCAAACUGUAGUGGCGGCGACUUGUGCACCUAAUAAACAGCUCAUGCAAACAAGUGCGGCCCGGUAUGUCGACGUAGACCAGGCCACGAGAGACGGACAGCAGGGACGACCGCAUCAUCAGUGGCGGCUCCGACAGAUGAGUCGGCCGCGGCAUUGUAAACCGGCAUGGACAGGGAAAUCGGUACUGGUGUUAUAAACUGGCACGGAUGGGCAAGUUAACCGCGUCGUUUUGAUGUAGUGAACAAUUGUCCUGCAUCAACAAUAUUGCAGACCAAGGCAAAGAUAAACUGCUCUUUGGCAAAAAAUAAUAUGUGCCAAUAAAAUAUAUUUUAGAUGAAUAUCACCUGAUGUGCCAGGCCAGAAAUAAUCACUGCGGAGUUGAUGAUCACCAUGGUGAUGCUGAAAUCAAUCACGGCCGAGCCGGCCGCGGGAGCAGACAGAUGAGUCAGCCGGGGUGUUGUAAGCCGGUGUGGACGAGCAAGUUGUCCUCCUCAUUGUAAGCCGGCGCGGACGCGUGAACCGGCCGCGAGGGCGGACGGGCGAGCCGUCCAUGGUGUUAUAAGGUGGUGCGGGCGAGUCGGCCGGCGCGUUGAUGUAACCCGGACCGCGGUACGCGUGUCCGUGAAUGGCAUAAAAGUUGUCCUGUGUAAAAAUAUUACAGGACAGAGUAAUUGUUCUUUGCAAGUGUUUAAUACAUAAAUUUAGAUGAAUACCACCUGAUGUUUGGGCGGACAGUACAACCACCGCAGCAUCAGAAGCAGCUUCGGGGUGAUGAAUCGGACGCGGCCUUGUAAGCCGGCACAGAUGAGCCCGUUGUCCUCCGCGUUAUAAACCGGUGCGGAUGCAUGAACCAGUCGCAAGGACAGACGGGCGAGUCAUCCAUGGCGUUGUAAGGCAGCACGGGCGCGUGAGUCGGUCGCAAGUGUUGUAAGCCGGCAUGGACGAGCGAAUCAGCCGCAUGUGCGGACGGAUGUAAACCGAACAGCGGGGGCGGCGAUUUGCACGCGUAUCCGUCAAGCAACCUGAUACUUUUGUAACGAAUAAUGGUCCUGCGAACAAAUAUCACAUACCAGAGUAAUUGUUCUCGAACAAUUUAAUAUGCACUGAUAAAAUACAUAACAAGAUAGCACCUGAUUUAUCCGGAGGAUCGAAGCAAAUUUCCUCAUGAAAUUUUUAAUGGUCUUCACAUCUACCCAUAUAUCCGCUAAGCUUUGGAGGACGUGCCCCAAUAGUACUUUUUGCAUAUCAAUACGUGGUUGCUUUGGCCUUGGGUAAUUACUAUGAUGCUUAGCUUUGGCUGAUCCCAGGAGACACCAUUCGAUCUGCUUGUUCCUCGACUUUUUAGACAGCAGCGGUAUGGCACACCCGUCGGUCCAUCGGCCGCAGGGGGGAGACCGAUUCAAAUAGUAGCGCACGGAAGCAUCUCGGCGGAGGUCGGCUCGCCGCGACUCAGGGCAGCAGCAGUAUGAAGCGCCGGACGGCCCCACGGGGCGAUUCCUCAAUGGCGGCUCUCUGCGAGACGGUGUUUUUGCCGUGCAAGGAAGUGGUAGGUCAAACCGAGGAGUCCGAGUCCAUGAAUAGUUCGCUCCCGGGUCAUGGCUGUUUCCGGGUCGACCCCAGUUGAAUAGGUCAGGGUGUAUUCUCCCUUUUGGUAAUUGAAAAACUGAACCAAUAUUACUACUAGCUUCACGUACUAGUGCUCGUGGCUGAUUUUACCAAAGGAAUGAUUAAAAAAUGAAUCUGGACCUUGUUUGUAUAGACUAUUCCUUCCCAAAAUCUGAGUCUUCACGUGGAUAAUACUCAAGUACUUGGUGGACCCUUUAUGCGAACAGUAGCAGGGGAGUCACACAAGCAGCGACAAAGGAAUCCAAGUCCAUCUCUGUGUCCGGGUUGUGGCCACUCUGGCCAAUUUAUUUUCUUUGAGUCAUGAUCUGACGAGAAGAUGAUUGUUUCUUUUCCUUCUUAACACUACUUGCCUCGGGACCCGACUACUAGUAGCACGUGAUGACUCCUUGGAUCUGAAUUGAGUCCAGAAGUCACAGAGUAAACAGGAGCAGCUACUGUUGACUACCUCGGGACUUGGAACCUUCUGAUCUGCCAUGGAGUAAAUCGCCAUUACUUUAUCAAAAAUAUCUGGUCUCUGGGCUGAUUUAGAUAGCUCAAUUCCGACUUGUCUUUCUGCGUUGCAGCGAUCUGGGCAGUUGGUAUUACUAUUGGACACGGUGAUCACAACGAAGACCCAAACCAUGCCGAUUCUGGCAACUUGUAGAUCGGAUUUGACGUGGUGAUGAAACUGGCUGUAGCAGAAAAACGAUGAUCGCGGCGACUCACGGCAACGGAAAAAGUUGUAACUCUAAUUUCCUUUGAACCUUAAACCCCAAAUCUUAACCUUGGACUGAUGAACUUGAAGUUGAUAUAAAUCCUUCUGAACCAGCUUUCUCCGUCCGGAAAAUUGCAAACUUCUCGAUCCCUGGGAGAGAUCCCUUCAAGAACUCAACACCACUAUGCGCAGCCCCACGGUGGGCGCCAACUGUCGUGGAAUUGUCACGUCAGAUGUCCUUAGUGUGAGGACUUAGUCACGAGGCCAACACAUCUAUGUGAUAGCUUGAGAGGGGUUGAGCGGAAUCGAGAGACGCCACACAAGACAGGGAUUUAGACAGCUUCGGGCCCCGGGAAACAUCAUGCGGUCAAAACCCUACAUGCUGUUUGAGGCUAGGUCUCAUUAUCAUCACGAGGGAGUCGCCGUAAACCGGCUCUCCUCUUUGUGUCUAGCCCUAGAGAUUAUUGAUUGUUUCUUCUUGCUUGUAGCUUGUCCCUCUUUGGGGAGCCCUGCCCCUUCUUAUAUAUGUUAAAGGGGCGGUUUACAUGUGGAGUCCUAUUAGGAUUAGGACUAGUCUAUCUCUAAUACAAACCGGAUACAAGUCUUGGUCUUAACUCUUUGUAAGGUAGAUAUUCCUUUCCUCUUAAACCGGCCCACAAUAGUUGAACCGGCCUUCUAGGCCUUGGGCCUUGUCAUCCGUCUGAUCCGCCCGCCGGGUUACCAGUGAACCGUAAACCGCCAUGUCCAAGUGGGUUGCCAGUGAAUCGCCAAACUCUAGCCGGGUCAUACAUCCGGCGGUUUAUACCGCGGGGUAUAUCCCCGACAGGGGACCUUCUUCCCGAGCUGUUGCAACUGCACGAACGAGUUCGGCAGGCGAUGCAAGGCGUCGUCCAGGCUAUGUGGUCAUCCCUCUCCAUGCCCGAAGGCCUUGGAGAGCUUGCGGAGAAGCUGUAGGGAGUGCGGCAGCGCUUCCGGUUGUGGAAGAUAUCGGCCUGUCAUCAAGGUGCCGGGGAGGCCUGGGCCACGGUGAAGACUCGGUACACGAAGGCUGACCCGAACCACAUGGCCGAGGUCGGUCCUGUGGGGCCUGACGGAAGGGAGAUCCCUGUCAGUUUAGUGUAUGGCCAGGUAGAGCUGGCUGCCAAGUAUUCUCAACAGGACUGUAAAUUAGAUAGCCUGUUGGAUGGUAUCGAAGAAGAAUAUACCGAGUCAAAUUGACUAUGUAAUUUAAAAUGACAUGUAAAAUGCCUUCUAGCCGGAUUGUAGAUCGUUUGUCAUUGCAGACCUUUUCGCUUCCAUCUCUAGACCCGAUAGUCCGGAGUGUGUCCGAAUACCUUCUCGGUUAUGUAAGAGCCGGGGCAUGCAUGGAGACCAGGCGUAGGGGUCAUAAGUGCUUUAGCAGACAAGUGCCCAACUAGUUAUGUUAUAUUACAUGGUUAGUAAGAAACAUCUUCCAGGGAGAAUAGUUUCGUUAGGGGUUCCUUUCCCUGGGAGGCAUGCCCUAAAGUGCAUGUCUGAACUGCGAGAAAAAAGAAGAAAAGCAUCUGGGGGCAGAUAAAUAAACAAGAAAAAUCAUCUUUUAGUUCACCGACCGAAUAUUCCCUUAAGAACGCUAGCUUUCGGCUUCACCCAGUCUGAGGUACACAUCCGGCUGACCCGGCAGUAACAAUCGCAGAGGUGCUCCCUUUACCACCUAGCCGAACAAAUGGGAACGUAGGGGUAAGCACAGGAGCCAGGCAACCUAGCUUGGCCAAAACUUAAGUCAUAUCGAUGCAUAUAAUGGUGUAUAAAAGGUUCAUGCGGAAGUGUCACACAUGUUUUGGGCAUGAGGCCCGUUUAUAUAAACUUCUGAUAAAGAAGCCCCCAGGUAUAAUGAGCGCGGGUGGCGCAUCAAGUAUGUGCGAACAACGCGCAAGCAAGCCCCUAAGGGCUUGGGAGAAAAAGGUAGGGAGAAGGAGAGAAAUACCAGGCAGCUAAUUUGAAAAAAGUAAAAAAAAAAGACAGAGAAAGGAGACGAACACGUAGUCCGGCGCUAGGCGUAGAAUCUUCGUAGGCGUGCUGCGUUCCAUGGGUUUGGCUCGAGUCGGUUGUCCGAUGCGUUUCGCAGACGGUACGCUCCACCAGUCAGGACUUGGUCGAUUAUGAAGGGACCCUCCCAUUUGGGCUUUAGUUUGUCCUUUUUCUUGUCCGGCAGACGUAGAACUAGUUCACCAACGUUAUAAGUUUUGGCCCGUACUUCUCUGCUUUGAUAUCUUCGAGCCUGCUGUUGAUAGAAUGCGGAACGAGCUUUUGCCACGUCGCGCUCCUCCUCCAAUGCAUCCAAGCUAUCCUGCCGAUCGAGCUCGGCUUCUCUUUGUUCGUACAUGCGCAUGCGAGGUGAGUUAUGAAUUAUGUCACAGGGCAGGACUGCCUUUGCGCCGUAUACCAUAAAAAAUGGUGUGAAUCCGGUAGUGCAAUUCGGGGUGGUCCGCAGCCCCCGGAGUACGGAGUCAAGCUCCUCUACCCAGUGCGUGUUAGAUUCCUUGAGGGAUCGCACUAGUCUGGGUUUGAUGCCGCUCAUGAUGAGACCGUUGGCUCACUCGACUUGACCGUUGGUUUGAGGGUGAUAGACUGAAGCGUAGUUGGAGAAGCCUUGUUAAGGUCCUUGAGAUCGACACAUAGGCGCCAGGAUUUGUCCUUCUUUGGUACCAUUACCAGGUUUGCUAGCCAGUCCGGAUGUUUUAUAUCUCUGAUGAAUCCGGCCUCCAAUAGUUUGGCUAGUUCCUCUCCCAUGGCCUGUCUCUUGGGUUCGGAGAAGCACCGAAGAGUUUGUUUGACUGUCUUGAAUCCUUUUAGGAUAUUUAAGGUGUGCUUGGCCAGCCGGCGUGGGAUUCCUGGCAUGUCUAAAGGGUGCCAGGAAAAGAUGUCCCAAUUUUCCCGUAGGAAUUCUCGUAGUGCGGUGUCUACAUCGGGGUUUAAUUGUGCCCCGAUGGAGGCCGUUUUUGUAGGGUCCGUUGGAUGGACUUGGAAUUUGACUAUCUCGUCCGCUGGGUUAAAAGAGGUGGACUCGGAUCUCUUAUCUAGUAUCACAUUGUCCUUGUCCACCGUGGAGCGCAACGCAGUUAGUUCCUCGGUCGCUAGGGCUUCGGAUAAUGCCUCGAGAGCCAGUGCGGCUGUCUUGUUUUCGGCGCGGAGCGCUGUGUCCGGAUCACUAGCAAGAGUAAUGAUUCCGUUGGGUCCGGGCAUUUUGAGCUUCAUGUACCCGUAAUGGGGUAUAGCUUGAAAAAUUGUGAAUGUUUGUCGCCCUAACAGAGCGUGGUAUCCGCUGCUGAACGGGGCCACUUGGAAUUUGACCUCCUCGGAUCUGUAAUUAUCCGGCGUGCCGAACACCACAUCCAGUGUGAUUUUCCCUGAACAGCAUGCUUCCCGGCUUGGUAUUAUUCCUCUAAAGGUUGUGUUGCUUCGCUCAAUGCGGCUCCAAUCUAUUUCCAUUUUUUGCAGGGUUUCCUCGUAGAUGAGGUUUAGUCCGCUGCCGCCGUCCAUGAGUACCUUUAUAAGCCGGAAGCCGUCCACUAUCGGACUGAGGACCAAUGCGGCUGGUGCUCGGGCUGUCCGGAAUUUAGGUUCGUCACUCGCAUUAAAGGUAAUAGCCGUGUCACUCCAUGGGUUUAUUGUUGCUACUUGGUAGACUUCGGUAAGGCUGCGAAGCGUUCGUUUCCUCGCAUUGUUUGAUGCGAAAGUCUCGAAGACUGUUGACACCGUACUGGCGUUUCUGGGGUGGUGCUCUGCGGAUUUUGGAGUUAGAAGCUCCUCACCACUUCUGGCCACCUGCCGGAGUGUCCAACAUGCUCUAAGGUUGUGAGUUGGUGUGACUUCCCCUGAACUAUGAAUUUUACAGGGUCCAUUGAGCCAUCCCUCCAGUACGGUCCCAUACCCAAUAGAGGGUUUUUGUUUUUUGCUGUUUGGCCAAGGUGCCUGGCGAUAAUGCGCCCUUUUGUUUUGGACUGGGAUUGUAUUCAAGGCCGGACUGUCCCAGAAUUUAGUUUCGAUUUUCCGAACGCUUUCUGUCGCACAGUACUUUCGUACUAUGGAUGUCAAGUCGGCGAAGCGUGUAAUUUCGCGGCGACUUAUGGCGUUGAGGAUUCCGAUGUCCGUGCAGUUGUUACAGAAGAAUGAAAUUGCGUCUUUCUCACGGCAGUCCUUUAUCCUGUUCAUAACCAGGAGGAAUCUAGCCCAGUAGUGGUGUACUGUUUCCCCGGGCUCUUGCCGUAUUUGGGAUAGAUCCCUUAUAUUUGGGUGGGCGAGUGGAUUUAAAUCCGGAACCUCGCCCAAUAUAAGACUCAGGGGCCAAGAAAUUUCCGAAUUCGGAAGCUUGUUUUCUUGGACGUUAUUCAAUGAAUCAGGCAUGCUGCCUGACUUUAGGUUCAGGGCUUGGGCAACAUCCUCCCCUCCACGGAUGUCUGGCUUGGAGGGGUCGGGAAUCCGGACACAUCUGGUCCUUAGGAUGAGCGAAGAUUCGCCGCAUUGUUCUUCCAUCACUUUAACGUGGUGGGUGACCUGGGGAGAGUCGAUCUCUCUCUGAUCGGGUUUAAGCCCAAUCUGGUCGUAGUCUGUAGCGACUCCUAGGGCGGUGAUGUGAUCCAAGAGCUCGUUUAGGGAAGAGAGCUCCAUCGGAUCUAACUGCUCGGCAAGUUCCGAGCUGAUGUCGAGAUUGCUUUCGAUGGCCCGAGAGGUCAUCGUCGGCACGGCGGCCGAACAGGCGGUCAUCAAAAAACUACCUAGCCGGAGAGUUUGGCCGAUAGCCAAAGCUCCUUUAGCAACAGCGCCGUGUUUAAAGACGGGGUGCGGCAUCCUUCCUGACGGUGACGACACAGAGGAACUCUCAAUGAAAGCACCAAUGUCGGUGUCAAAACCGGCGGAUCUCGGGGUCCCGAACUGUGCGUCUAGGCGGAUGGUAACACGAUACAAGGGACACGAUGUUUUUACCCAGGUUCGGGCCCUCUCAAUGGAGGUAAAACCCUAAUCCUGCUUGAUUAAUAUUGAUGAUAUGGGUAGUACAAGAGUUGAUCUACCACGAGAUCAGAGAGGAUAAACCCUAGAAGCUAGCCUAUGGUACAAUUGUUGUUCGUCCUACGGACUAAAACUCUCCGGUUUAUAUAGACAUAGGAGAGGGCUAGGGUUACACAGAGUCGAUUACAAUGGGAGGAGAUCUUCAUAUCAUAUCGCCAAGCUUGCCUUCCACGCCAAGGAAAGUCUUAUCCGGACACGGGACGAAGUCUUCAAUCUUGUAUCUUCAUAGUCCGGGAGUCCGGCCAAAGGUCAUAGUCCGGCCAUCCGGACACACCCUAAUCCAGGACUCCCUCAACGGGCAUCUAUGCAUGGGAAAUUAUGUCGAACACGGCUAGUUGUAAGCAUGCUAGCUCUAUAGUCAUGAUGGUAGUGACUGCAGACGGUGAGGCUGACUAUGGUAUGCCGAACACGGCGCCUAUACUCAGGUGUCAUCUCUGGUGCAGGGUCUUGUCACUUCAAUGUGAGGAGCAACACGUAAUAAUUUGACCAACGGGUAGUACAAUGCUACUAUAUUGGUAGUACUACUACUAGUACUAGCACCACCGUCUGGAUUUAGUAGUACUACCACGUCCAUCUGGAUUUUAGUAUUUGACUAGCAAUAUCUAGUAAUGCAUGUCACAAAAAAUGUACUACUCCCUCUGUAAAUAAAUACAUGGUGUAUUGUUUUAUUCCUAUCAGCGAGAGAACUUAAUGUAUUUUUGCUAAUAAAUAGGAUUACAUGCAAUGAACUAACCACUUCAUGUCAUGUUUGGUAGUCUCAAGUCAUUGAAAGCAUGCACGGCCCACAUCUCUCAUUGGUUGAUAUGUCACGAAAUAGGAAACGAGGAGGGAGUUAAUGUACCAUGCCUAAGUGUUUUGGGAUUAUUUGGUUUUUGUAAGGUGACUUACACAACAUUUUUGGUUACAUGCAUUAACAUUUUAUUAGUUAAAUCAUAGGUCAAAACUUGGCGCAAAAUGCAAAGGGGGCCAAUAAACCAGUAAAGAUCAAACUUCUCUCGUUUGGCCCCAACUAGAGGUCCGGUGAGAUGACUAUACUGCACUGGCACGGAGGGGGACGCAGCUUCAUUGACUUACUGCAACUGCCUUUGGGUGCAUGACACGUGGGCCCAACGGGUGGCUGGCCCACCUGUCAUACAGCCAAAGGAAGGUGCCGUAGAGGGCCGAGGAGUAGAUGCCCAACACGCACGUGAAUCCAACGCAGUCUGCACUUCUCAUAUCAAGGCUCCCCGCUAGUCCAAUCUAGUAUGAAAUCCUACGCACCUACGCAUGCUAACCAAGGGCAAGUGUGAUCACUUCAAUCGCAAGAUCAGUUGACUAGAAGCUAAGCUAGACCCAUGGAGGCGAUGAGGGCGAGCAUCAGCCGGCUGUACCAGAUGGUCCACGACGCCGGCCUGCGGCCCGGCACCGAGGAACGUCUCCAGGUAGUGCUUGAGGCCACCAGGGCAAGGGGCCACUUGGACGACAGCUUCGUCUCCUUGUUCGACGAGGUCCUCGUCGGCUUCCUCGACAAGUUCACCAUCGUCAAGAAGUUCGCGGACAACCUUGACGUACGCCUCCAGCCGACGUGCCUAGGCUCUGCGAUGCCCGCCACCCUCAAUGGCCACUAUGGUGAAAACCUCUUUGGCGCAUUGGUGGCCCUGCAACCGCCCGCUGUCACGCAGGAGGAUGUCCACCUUGAGGUCGCGCUCGCCACGCAGCGCCUGGCGCAGCAAGACACCAUUGACAUAAUCACCCACAUCUACGCGCAAAUCAUCCACAAGGACUACUACAUGCAAGAGGAGGACGAUAGGACACUUGCCUUCUUGGACCGCAGGGCAACCUUGGAUGGCAUUGUUCAGAAGCACGUUGAGCUCGCCGCCAACGCCGCUGCUCCUCACACGUCGGUUGGUGACCCGGUGCACUAUGGCGUGAGGAUGUUGUUGAUGGAUCUGUAUGUAUUUUUAUCUUUCUGUAAAAUCCAUGUAGUAGUAUAUGGUACUACUAGUAAUUAUCUUACCUUUUGCAUCAACUUCAUAAUUUUCGUACGUACUCCAUGCAUGAACCGCGCCAGAACCAAACUUCUCAUUACUCUAGGGAAAAUCAUUAUUUCUAUCUAUCGGUCGCUCCAUGGAGCAGAACCAAAUUUUACAAGUUACAAGUUCAAAAGGAAAAGCCUGUCGUGUUCGCGUCGCACUCCCACACGGUUGGUCCGGCACGCCGCUCAAGGGGGAAUGCGUGCGGUGUUGCAUUUUCACUUACAAGUGGGACCGCAGUUGAGCAAACCGACUAUCGGCAAACCCCACCCCGCCCACUGCGCGAUGGCUGAGAACAGGAGGGAGAAGAGAUGGUUGUAGCAUGGACUCCAAGAAAAUUGGUGCCGGAUGGGACUCAUGUGGGUGGCGUGUGCCGCACUGCUAGACAUGAAUGCUAGUUGUGGCCCAUGCCACCCCACUAUAUCGAUCCUAUAUCGCGGUGCUGGUUACGUAGAACAAAUUUCCUGGAGUCCGUGCUCAGCCCUCCUCUAUCUCUCUUCUCAGCCAGCCAGCAGACGCACGGAGCCCAUCGUCUGUUUGGUCAUAUGCGGUCCCACAUCUCAGUGAAAACGCAAGAGGACCCACUGAACCUGCACAUCUUUCACCUCGACGUGCUGGUGAUGAAAAACAAAUCCAAUAAAGAUCUUCGGUGGCCUCUUUUGGAGUUACUCAAGAGUAGUAAGAUUCUAUAUACAGUUUAACCCAAGAUGCACAUCACAUGGCUUGAACUACCACUCUAUUUUCUUGCAUGACACGACCUAGAUGCUAGAUGUCCCACGUGUCGGCAAAAGGAGGAAGAACUCGACCAAAUCUUUGAUUGUGCUCUCGGAUUAGACUAGUUGUGCUAACUUAAAAUUUUAUUGUGUAGAAUGGAUGCAAGUUUUGGUAUUGGGAAGAAGAGUGCAUCGAUAUAUUGAUAGAGCGCAAUUUAGUAGAUGUUCUAGCACUUUUAGCUAGCAUAGAGGCUAGAGAUGAGACUAGUGCACUUGUUGAUAGAAUAGAGGCUAGACAUGAGACUAGAUGCGAGGAAGGAGUGUCUACUUCUUUACACUCAAAUAAGAAAGAAGCACGCAAGAUCAAGCCUCCAUAGAUCAACAAUGAAUGCAUUGAGAAGCCACUAAUCCAACUUAUAGGAGCAGUUAUCGAAGUUGGAUAUCUUCUAAAAUGUAUUCUUAUGGUUCUUGUUUUCUUUGGUCUUGCUUUUCUAGUCAACUUUUGGUGAUGUAUUUCCAUGUACCAAAAAUCAAUGAUGAAAAAAAAUAAAUGUGUUUGCAAAGAAAAAUGUACGCGGCCGGGAUGCGUCCACGCGUUGGGUGCACGGCCACCGCAUCCGAGAAAUGGCCCGGACACGACCCCAUUGCCAUACCCAAACAGACAGAAUCCGGGAAAAACGGAGGUCCGUUUGGGGUCAUGUGUUAGAGUUAGCCUUACAAGUGGGACCGCAGUUGAGGAAACCGACUAUCGGCAAACCCCCACCUCGCCCGCCGCGCGAUGGCUGAGUUAGAGAAACGAUGAGGUUGAAGAGAUAGCUGUAGCACGGACUCCAAGAAAUAUGGUGUCAUAUGGAAGUCGUGUUGGUGGCGUGUGCCGUACUCCUGGACGUGAAUGCUUGUUCUGGCCCAUGCCACCCUACUACUAUAUAGUAGUAGUAUCGAGGAUUCGAGGUGCUAGUUACGUAUAGCGAACACAUUAACAAAGGGCCCACCUCACACUGUAGCCAAAUUUCCUGGAGUCUAUGCUAGGUUAAAAAGUGUUCUUUGUGAGGGUGGGUGGCUGGUCUCAAGUUUAAAACUUGUUGUAUUAUGUAUACGUAGACGUAGAGAUAGUGCAGUAGUUCUGAAAGUUUGAACCCAAACAUCAUAAUGCAAUUUCUUCUGGACUCAUCCGAGGACCUAGGAUGAUGGGAUUCGCAGCUACAGUAAAAACACCCGCCCGACGCGCGAAGCAUGUGAAGCUAGUACAAAUAGUGUACUAUUGUUUAUUGGCCUCAUCCGAUAACCUGUUGCAAUGCAUGUACAAUUAUGUAUUCAGAAAAUAUUUUUUUGCCUCGUCGCAGCACCCACUCAGAGAAGUGACUCGAAAGCCAUUCAUAAAUUGGUGGCGGAUGGUGGACUGUUGCCAGUUUGCCACGGUACAUGAAGAGGCGCCCCGACUUACACUUCCGUUUAGAAAUAGUAGAAAAGGACUCGCCGUCAUCUCACUGAUAUGUUGGAACGGGACCACAUGUCAACGAAACAUGGUCUAUAAUUUCUCGUGCAAAAUGCGAUCUGGCCGCGUUGGCCCGAGGUGCCGCAUUAGUUAUUAACUUUUAUUUUUUUUAACAUACAAUCUGAGCGGAUAGCUCAUGUGGUCAUCACACAUGAGCGGAUAUAUAGGUGGGCUAGGUGGGCAGGCGGCAACAAUCUGGGUGCUAAAAGAGUUGAUCCAGUGCUUCGUUUUGUUUGGAUUUUACAACUAUGACCAUUGGAUAGAGUGAAUCAAUGGCUUACGUUCAAAGUUAUUCUCAUACUAUAGAAUGGUAUAGGAAGGUGGAGAGAUUUGGUUGAUUUUAUAUUGCUGAAUAAUAUAAAAUAUUAUGAGUGCAGACGCUCCACUGCAAGGUUUGUUGCUCCUUCUCAGUCAUCGGGAAUCCAUGUUCUUCCACUCUUUCGUUUAAGACAUGAGCUUUGUUCAUCCUUUUGCCGACAUGUGGGACAUCUAUAUGCCUCCAUUUUCAAUAUCAUACUAUAUGCCUCCAUGACACACGGGACAUCUAGCGUCAAGGUGGCACGUCAUGCAAGAAAAUGGAGAUAUGCAGUGCGUAAGUGAGCCGUGCACUUCGAUGGCACCUAGUACUAUGCAAUAUUUUUUCUCCUCGAUGGCACGUGCAUAGUGCACGUACUCAAUGACAGAGCACGAGAUGGUAGCCACGGACAUGGUAGGCCCUUUUUGAAGAGAGUACUAAUAAAUAACUUUGAUGUGUCCCAUCAACUCGCAGAACACCGAGAAGCUUGCUUACCUUCUCCCUCGCCAACGUGUGCGCGGUGACUCGCGGCACGAGGAGAAACUUUUGCUUACAAGUGGUGGAUGUGCAGCAGUUCAUUUGGUGUUAGAUUGCCAGAAGUACUACUGUAGUACCAUCAUUAUUGUUCGACUUCCAGAAGAGGAGAAGAGCCAAGCGCAAGGUCACCUACUAACCUAGUACAGUACUACUAUAGCCAAAGCUGGACCACCUUUUUAGUGCAUGGUUAAUUAAUAUAGGUGACUCUUGCAGCGACACAUCAUUUAGAGAAAGUACUCUCUUCGUAGGAACAAAGGAAGUAAAACAAAAGUUGGAGUGGAUGCUAUAUUGCCAAUUAAAACAUGAUUACAUAUAAAAAAAUCCUAUAGCAUUCUAUCCUAUGAAUCAAACGACCAAUGUAGGAAAAUUAUGAGAGGGGUCUCUCCAAUAGUGUUCCUCGGCUCGCACCUAGCAUCACGGUGGUCGAACUUGGAAUCAUUCAUCUGGUACACGUGGCAUCUCAGAUCUGGACACAAGGUGACGCGGCCUCUCACUUCGUCCGCCAUUUGAAGCAGCGCGCCGGUGGAGUACUAGCAUACUCCAAUAUUAGGUUGGCUCUAUGUGAUGUGGCAACUUCAUAUACUAACCGGAUGCUGGCUAUACUACUACGGUACUCACACUCCAAGAAGUGACUCGAAAACCAUUCAUAAAUUGAGUCUAUGACAUGCAUUUGCAAAUGUACCAUUCAUUACAUACAACAAGUCAUCAACACACAAUGGCAACGAGGAUACAUGUUGGAUUAUAGAUUAUUUCCAACAAAACAUUCUAGUAAAUACAAAAGUUUUCAUCACACAACAAAUUACAAGCAAUAAAAUGAACUUCAACUCAACCAAUCCUCGGCGUUGGAAACGCUUGCUUUGAACCAUAGGUGCUCUGGGAAGGGCCAGCUAUUGUUAAUAUCGAGAGCAACGCAUGACUGAUCAUCCAGGCUGAAGCAGCAUAUAUCAGGAGCAGGGUAGGGAUCCACCACAAUAUCCAAGGUAUAGAUAAAGUUGCUUCUCAUAAAUGGUAGUAACGUUGUGUAAACAGCAGCUGGAUCGCCUUUAACCAUCAUUGGAUAGUUUGGUCCAAGGAAAAGCGGGUUUUCUCCAAGACUAUCAAUACCAAACCAGGGAGAAGGUGUUGGCGCUAGCACACUAGUAUCCAUCCCAAAUACCCUGCAACGGGUGUUGGAAUAGGUCCGGAGAGAGCGACCAUGGGAGAUAACAAAUGCUCCCUGAGUAGUAACAAUCUCAGUGCAAUGUAUAUAGACAAGAAGAGGUGAUCCAUCAGAAUUAGUUGUCAGGCCCCACUGAGUAUAUAAGUCCUGCUCGUCCUCAUGCUCGUGAUCAUCACCAUCGUCAUCUCCCCCUUGGUUAUAAAUUUUUUCAAGUAUAGGUGGUGGAAUGUUCACAGGACCUUGGAAACAUACGAAGAAGGUUAAUUAGUAAAGGGAAACUAGGUAACCUGCAUGCAUGUGGAUGAAACAAUUACAAUUAUGGUGUAAGACAAACGUACCGAAACUACGAGGAUCCCAUGCAAAAAUAGUGCCACGAGUGGUGGAAGCAAACACAAGAUCCUCGUAUUCAAUUGCAUCAUAGUACUCAUCAUCCGUGUACAAAAACUGAUUUUUGAGCAAUAUCCAUGGACGAACCAUGGAAUCAGUAACGACAGCAACAACUUCAUAGUUCUUGUAAUUCCAAGAGCAGUUGGGAACUCAAAAAAUUGCUAUCUUCCAUAGACGAUGGCCACCAUGAUCGUAUUCUGAAAGAGCAACUAUCCCUAGGUGGUUUUGGUGGUUGAACUUUAUUUGUCCUUGGAGUCAUUUCUACACCACCUCAUCAAGACCAAGCCUGAGAGUCGAUUUAGCACUAUGCAUUUUUAUGAACUUUUUGGUAACUUGUUGCUAAAGGGGGAGAAAAUGUAUAGAUCAUAGGCUUCGAGAGAGAGUGUUGCUUUUGUUCUCUCUUGUUUUUGGUGGUUGAACUUUAUUUGUUUGCUUGUUUGAGAUACAUUCUGCAGUUUGUGUGAUACUUGGAUGAUCAUGUGUUUGAUCAUAUGCUAUACUACAUUAUUGCUUGAUUGGAUGAUAUUAUCUCUUAUAUCCUCAUAUGAUCAUUCACUUUGCUUGGUGAUGAGUGCAUGUAUUUAAGUAUUAUCAUUUUGAGCGCUCCACCAAGAUGUAUGUGACAUGGAAGAGUACCCCAUGAUCCUAACUCAUUGUGCAUUUGCAGUCCAAAGCAAAUCUUAAACUAUGCACAAAUUUAGGGGGAGCUCUUGCUUUUCACAUACUUCUCAAAGCGACAAUGUUUUUCAAUCUUAUUAUCAUUUGUCGAAGCUUUGAUCUAUAUGUUAUCAUAGAUUACCAAAAAGUGGGGGAUUGAAAGUGCAACUAUCCCUAGGUGGUUUUGGUAAUUCCUAACAACAUAUAGCUCAUUGAGCUAAUACUAUUCCAAGAUAAAUAUUUCAGGAAAGCUCAAUGAUUGGCAUGGCAUGGAUGAGAAAAGUGGACCCCUCAAAAUGCUAAGGAGAAAAGGAUUGGCUCAAGCUCAAAGCUCAAGACUCUACAUUUUCUAUUUUAGUGAUCCAAGAUCACAUUGAGUCUAUAGGAAAAGCCAAUACUAUCAAGGAGGGAUGAGGUGUUUCUUAAUGAGGUUCUUGCUCAAAAUUCUUAGUGAUAUGCUCCAAAGCCCUCAACUACUUUCUCACUUCCACAUAUGACCUAAACCAAAAGUCAAAAUCGGCCCAGCCGAUUCUUUCUAUCCGGCGCCACCGAGUUCAGAUGUCAUAGCCACUGCCACAAACCCUAGGCAAAUCGGUCUCACCAAUAGGCAUCUCGGUCUCACCGAGAUGGGAUUGUAAUUUCUCUGUUUCCCUUUGUAACGUUUUGGUCUCACCGAGAUGAGCGAUCGGUCCCACCAAGAUUGCAAUGUAAACUCUUUGUUUCCCUUUCGUAACGUUUCGGUCCCAUCGAGAUGAGUGAAUCGGUCCCACCGAGUUUACCUGACCAACUCUCUGGUUAGCUUAUUACCAAAAUCGGUCUCACCGAGUUUUUGUAAUCGGUCUCUCCGAGAUUACGUUAUGCCCUAACCCUAACCACAUCGGUCCUACCGAGUUGCAUGUCGGUCCCACCGAAAAUCCUAAUGGUCACUAGAUUUACUGAAUCGGUCUGACCGAGUUUCUCAAUUCGGUCCCACCGAGAUUGGUAAGUUGUGUGUAAUGGUUAGAUUUUGUGUGGAGGCUAUAUAUACCCCUCCACCCCCUCUUCAUUCGUGGAUAGAGCCAUCAGAACAUGCCUACACUUCCAACUUGCAUUUUCUGAGAGAGAACCACCUACACUUGUGUUGAGGUCAAGAUAUUCCAAUCCUACCAUAUGAAUCUUGAUCUCUAGCCUUCCCCAAGUUGCUUUCCACUCAAGCCUUCUUUCCACCAAAUCCAUAUCCUGUGAGAGAGAGUUGAGUGUUGGGGAUACUAUCCUUUGAAGCACAAGAGCAAGGAGUUCAUCAUCAACACACCAUUUGCUACUUCUUGGAGAGUGGUGUCUCCUAGAUUGGCUAGGUGUCACUUGGGAGCCUCCGACAAGAUUGUGGAGUUGAACCAAGGAGUUUGUAUGGGCAAGGAGAUCACCUACUUCGUGAAGAUCUACCCCUAGUGAGGCAAGUCCUUCAUGGGCGACGACCAUGGUGGAUAGACAAGGUUGCUUGUUCGUGGACCCUUCAUGGGUGGAGCCCUCCGUGGACUUGCGCAACCGUUACCCUUCGUGGGUUGAAGUCUCCAUCAACGUGGAUGUACAAUAGCACCACCUAUCGGAACCACGGCUCAAAAGUCUCCGUGUCUCCAAUUGUGUUUCCCUCUUCAAACUCCUCCCCUUUACCUUCAUAUGCAAUUGUGUUAAAUUCCGCUGCUAUGCUCUAGAAUUGCAUGUGUAGGUUGAUUGCUUGACUUGUGCUAAGUUGCUAAAACCUGCCAAGAAUUAAAAUUUGGGAAAAGGCUAAGUUUUUAUUUUGUCAAGUAGUCUAAUCACCCCCCCUCUAGACAUACUUUCGACCCUACAUAGAUCAUCUGUGUGCUCAACCUUAGGGCACUCUGAGAUUUUUGGAAGUGGAAUCCGCUGACGAGUGUACACAUUCACAAGUUCCCACUCGCAAUUGUAUCCAAUAUAAACAACCCAAUCUCCAUUUGCGCCAGCCCAGGCCUUACCCUUAAGCGAUGGCAUGUUGACAUCACACGUAUCAUUGUCAAGCGGCAUCAACUUGCACAAGGCGAGGCCUCCGUCGUCCGCGCCCAUGCGAAUAGGCUUAUAGCAAAGAAGAUAAGGGAGAUCAAACCGCUCAUGGACCCUUGGGUUCCUUGUAAUGAUGUUAUUAGUUGAGUCAAGAAUGGUCUUGAACGAACCUGCCAUGCUAGCCGAGGUGAUAACGUCGCACCGAUCAAUGAGUUCCUCCACCACAUCAUCUUUCAGAUCGGGGCAGGAAUAACGGGGUCGUUUCCGGCUUGUUCCCUCCAUGGAGAAGAUGAUCAACAAUGGCAGAAGGAAGGGUGAAGGAAAAUGGAGAAGGCAGGAAGAGUGUGCGACAGCAGUUCCAAAUCGAGAGGGAAAGGCGAAGAGUCGGUGGACGGUUGCCAGUUUGCCAGGGUACACGAAGAGGCGCCCCGGCCUACACGUCCGUUUGGAAAUAGUAGAAAAGGACUUCUCGUCGUCUCACUGACAUGUUGGAACGGGACCACAUGUCAACAAAACAUGGUGUGUAAUUUCUCGUGCAAAAUGCGAUCUGGCCGCAUUGGCCCGAAGUGCCGCAUUAUUUCUUGACUUUAUUUUUUUAAUGGCGUGCCAUUCAGUUUUGAAGCACGACUAACUAGUACUAUAUGCAAAAUAUAAACUACUCUACCACUACUCCACCUCUAGUACUAGUAGUAUAAAAAAGAUAUAUAGGAUGGAGCUUCGGUGCUUUCUUGCUAAGGGCUACCCACUUGCUUCUCACACUAUCGCCCUCUCUCCAGGUCUAAAAAAGACAGCCUCUCUCUCCCUUGUCACCGGUGGUCACAUAUUCGCCGGGGAAGAAAAGGACGUGCAACGCUGAAGCACUCGUCGUCAGCGAGUGAGGUCUCGCACUGAUGACAAGGCCAUCCUCUCAGACCUAGCACCUGCGCGGGAUGGCCUCCAUCCCCAAGCUCACUGCCGUAGAGUGUGCGGAGGACGACGACCACGAGCAAAGCCACUUCCCACCGACCCUCAGGUAUGUUACCUAUUUUCGAACCAUACCCAUGUUCUAUUGCACCAUCUGCCACGUCGCUGCAUGUGGAUCUUUUUCCACUCCACCAUCUUCCCAAUUUGCUAUCCUCUGCUCUGCUGGUCACGUAGACGAAAACCUUAAUUUGCACUAUUAAAGGAAACCCUACUUCAUGCAGACUAAUCCAUGUCUGGGUUGAAUAAGGAAAGGAAGGGAGACUGUACUGUCCAAGAGAGUAGGCAUCGAACCCGCAUCUAGGUUGAAAAGGGGAAAAUCAGUAGCUAAGGAACGAGUCUCAUGUCUCUUGGUUGAAGAAGGGUAGAAAGGCAUGACAACGCAAUAGAGAAUGACUAGGUCGAUCAGUUUGUUGUCCUCACAUAGGAAAAAGGUUGCUAAAGAUAACAAAAAUGGGACAUAAUCCACAUAUGCUGCCUGGAUAUUUGUUGCUCUGGGCAACCAUACCUCCCUCACCACUCUAUGGGUCCAUGGAGCUACAUCGUACAGGUGCGCCCACUGUCCGAAUGGGCCUCCCAUGCUCUUAUUGCCACUUUUUUGUUGUUAGUAUAACGCCAGUAGUCAAGUCAAGCAAUGCUACUGCUAAAGUGAUGCCACAUUUAACUAAUGCCGCACUCCGUCUAAUGCCACCUGUAAAUUUAAGCAAUGCCAUUUAAUGUCACUGGAUUAUUUCAAGGUUAUCUGUUGAUUGUGGAUGUAUUAAAAAAAUUCAGCUAAGGCAUUCUAAUGUUGUUGCCCAGCUAGUAUACCAACGAUGAAUCUUGUUACUACCUUCAGAUUUUUGCACUGCUAAUGCUUAUAGAUUACAUACCUCACUUUCAUGAGAUGAGUCAAUUUUUUUUGUACAGUGUCAAGAGGAAAGGUCAAGAGAGGGCACCUCCUCCUCUGGUUGUUCUCUUGAUUCGUUCGAUCAAGUUUUUUAUGUUUGACUGAUUAUCAAGAUUGGGAUAGCAAUUUUUAGGUCCCCUCGAGUUCAAAAUGAUAUUUACCUUGAAGGUACAUGGUUUGCAAUUUUUUAUACUAUCAUUAGUUAAUAAUUCUAGUUACCUUCAGACUUUUGUAUUUGGUUUAAUGCUCAUGCACAGCUAGUAUACCAAUGCUGAAACUUGUUACCUUUACAUUUUGUAUUGUCAAUUCUUAUAGAAAUCUUCCAGUGCUAGAGUUUAUUGAAAUCUGUUCAGUAAAACCAUUGUAAUGUACCCUGUAAUAAAAUAAGUACUCUACUAUUUCACUAGCCACUGGAUUAGUGUCUAUUUGUAGUAUUCGAAUGGUGUUGCAUUAGCGUAUGGACAUGAAUAAAGUGUGGCAAGCUUUCCCAGAUAUGUGCUCAAGAAAACUACUACCUGUUUUUCGAAAUACUAGACUUUUGGGUACUUUAAAUUGAACUGCGAAAAUGUCUUAUAUCAAGGAACAGACGGUGUAGAGUUCACUCAAAUUAUCCUGGUAACGCUAGUCACACCUUUGUUAAAUGUUCAUUAUGUUAUCGGAGGAGGGCUGUAUGUUUGUCUCUAAUGCCUGUCGACUACAUACCUGACAUCAUGAUGUAAUGUUAAGUCAUUUCCUUUUGUACAGUGUCACUGACUUGUCAAGGCGGUGAUGGCAUUUUAUUUUAGUUGAACUGCACAAAAUAUGCUUAAAAGAAGAGGAAAGGUCGGGAAUCGAUCAUUCUUUCAGAAAGAACUAUAUAUGCCUUCUUGACAUCAGCCAUUGUCGCCUUAUUUAUUCCUUCAAACAUGUGGUUAGAAACAGUCUUGCUACCUUUUCCCAUUAAGAAAUUGAAAUGCUUAUAUUUGUGAGUCUAUGCUUCAACUAGUGCCACUUUUAUAGUAAUCACACUUUCAAUAUCUAUGCAAACAGGGAUGCUCGAUUUUAGUGGACCUGCACAAAAAGUCCAAAUGGUUCAACAUUAGGAGCAUGUUUUCUUCCGAACCUUUAUAUCCAAUUGGUGGUACUAUGAGCUAUUCAUUACGAAGGUACAUGGUUUGCUACUAUCUUUCUACUCUUUUUGUACUGUCAUUAGAUAGUAAUACUAGUGGUUUGCAUGUGAAUUUAUUGGCAGGGUGGACCUACAUUGGAGGUGCAGGACAUGAUUCAAUGAUUGGAUGCUCAAUUUCGGUUGUAUCAAUUUCACCUCUUCCAUCACUGCGAACAUGGAUAUCCUUGUUCUGAUGAAGAAUAUGCACUAUAUUUCUGCUCUGAACCAUCAAAUCAAUUCAGUAUGAAAUUGUCCAGGGCAAAACAUGACUGUAUCAAAUUGUCCAAUGCAAAACAUGACAGAUGGUAAGCGGAAGAGACAUGUUUAAACCAAAAAUACAAGGUGGGGUAUAUGUUUAAUAGCUGCUUGAUAUUUGUGCAAACAGAGAUGUCUGCCCGUUGCUAUUUGGCAAACAAACAAAGUGACCGCAAUUUUGGUUGAACUGCACAAGAGAAUAGUAUAGUCAUUGCAUGCAGUGCCAUUUGAAAAUAGACACAGAAAGAUUGGAUAGUCACUUCAUGGACUGCAGAAAAGUAAUAAUGUACUAUUUAUUGGCCAACACUAGGUGCUUCAUUGCUUUGGUCUGAUUAUACAAUGGGCAUCAUUUUGCCUAAGUUAAAGUUUGUAUUCCGAAAAUAGUCUCGUCGUGUGAUCGAGAGAAGACCAAAUCACAUUGCAGUGGAUGUUCCUCCAUCAUGUGUGGUUCAUUCUCAUGGUUCCAGCUGUUGGUGAAACCACUUAUGUUUGCAAGAGGAAUUGUAGACUUCACAAACAAAUUUGUCUUUCAGUCUGUACUGAAUGUUGGCCAAGAGAAGCAUCCAUGUUAGUAGGAAGAACAGAUGUUUUUUAUAGAUCUUUGCUUUUGGAGCUACAUAUUUGUAUAUGAUCUAUGAAUCAUUGAGAUGCAUUAACAUGUUGAUCUUAUGUAUGGGAAUCGUACUAGUUGGUUUUAGUUGUGACGCAAGAUAUGGCUGAUCUUUGCUUUUGGAGCUAAAUAUUUGUAUAUGAUCUGUGAAUCAUUGAGAUGCAUUAACAGUUCCUUAUUUCUGUUCGCUCAGUGUUUCCAUGUUACUGAUCGAUCACUAGCUAGCCUACUAAUGCGCUGCUGGCAGUUUUAGUUGCAAUGCAAGAUCCGAAGUGGCGGUUUUUUGAAUAAAAAUGCCUACCUCUGAAGAAACUGACAAGCUGCUCUAAAGAAAAUGCCAUGCGAAUCUGAAGAAACUGCCAGCAAAAACGUCCGCAAAUGCCUUAUCUCCCGUCUAACAUUUAUCAGCUAAUGCAAUCAUACACGUACACCAUCCGACCUACUCCAUCCUAUACGUACACUAUCCGACCUACUUGAUCCUACACGGAUAAAUAGAGGAUCACACACGUACUACCUCAUUUCCGGUUUGCAGGGCUCAAUUCAAGAAACGACCUACUCGAUCCUACACGAAUAAGUAGCGGAUCACGCACAUACUAGUACCUUCUUUCCAGUUUGCAGGGCUUAAUUCAAAAAUCUCACCAACCAAGGUACUCCCUCCGUCCGGGUUUAUUAGUCCCGUGAGCCAAAGUAGCAAGACCAAGGCAUGGCAAUAAUUAACUGCAUGCAAAACUUUAAGCCUAAUUAAUUCCAGUGAUUUAAGUGGCUGCAUGCGUGCCCUCGGUUGCAACUCAUUGCAUGAUGCUCCGCGUACUGGCUGCGAGUGAUUCUGAUUGCCUACAUGUAGCCGGCCGUAAUUAAGGAAGCUAACUGAUGCAAAAAAAAGAUGUGCUUUAAUUGUUGCGGGCCUUUUAAAUCCGUGGAAUCAUUAUUGACAAGGAGGGAGUACCUCAUCUGGAUGAUUCGAGUGCACUCGUUUGACCGUCAUGCCAGCGUGCGACCCAGCACGGAUAAGACGGGAUGGCAUAGUCAUAAUUUCAGUUUCUCUAGUUUUUCACGGCAAGCUGGCGCCCUAAGCCAUGCCUGCUUAUGCAUUGAAUUCCGAUGAUCGUCGCGCUACCUUCCGCCUAUAAGUACUGUUUCCCGGCCUUCUCUAGUGGCACCGUGACCCAACUUGCCCUAUCCUCAUAAGACCCCACCGGCUUGACGUCGCUCGCCACUUAUCCUCGCUCUCGCCACGUCCGCCAUGCCCCCGCCCGUCCGCGAUAGGCGAGGCCGAAGGCGGUCACCACCAGAACUAGUGUUCGGUUUUUCACCGGAAGGCAGACGGAGGGAGGAGGCAUUAUAUCGAUCUUUAGAUGGCAAUGCGGAGAACGAGGACUUGUUGGAGCGCGACCGCCUGGCGGAGGCGCAGGAGUUGUUGGAGCACGACCGCCUGGCGAAAGAGCAGCGUAUCGCUGAUUUGCACCGCCAGUAGGACAUGGAGCAGCAGAGCACCGACGCUCUGAGUCACGAGCAGAGCGCCCGCAACUGGGCUGACUACGUGGAUGCCGACACCCAACAAAUAGCCCUAGAGGCUGUCGGGCAUGCACGCAUUCGCGACGCCGAUUUUUGCUACCAUCUCAUCAAGUGGGUUUCCCACUUAGAAGCCAAAACUUCAGUGGACCACGCCGGCAUGGAAAGGGCCAACGCGUGCGAGCAACGCGCCCUAUCACACCUCUGGCAAGUCCGAGGCGAGGCGGAGGACGCCGGUGCCGGCGUUUAGCAUGUACCGCAGAUGGCGACCGGCAUCGUCUAGUUAGCUAAGAGUAAGUUAGUACUUGUACGCUACUAGAGUAUUAGCGGGAGUAGAUAGUUAACUUGGCUAUGAUGGUUGACAACAUGGAAGUUCAGUACUCUCUAUGUGGAUCAGACAUGUUACUUUGCUAUGAAUGUUGAACUUUCCGUUUGAAUGUAUGGAAUGGGUUGUUAUUUUUUUAAAUGGGUUGUAUUUGUCCGCCACAGGUUUAGAGGCUGACUUGUGGGCCAACCAAGUUGACGCGUACACAAUCAGUAGAUGAUUGUAUGUUGAGAGGAUGACAGCAGGGACCCGCCAAGGUCAUGGCAGUACGCAAGCAAGUGCUAUUUCAAGCCAAUAAAAAAUGGCUCCUCCUAAUGGAUUUCUGACAUCUAGGUCACAUGCCAUUGUCAACGUAGUCAAUAAACGAGAGAAUUGCACAACGAGCGGCUGACACCAGGGACCCAGCAGCUCGCCCAGUUAUUUUUGUUUUGGGUUAAUUUGAUAAAUGCCACUCCAAAUCUGGUGUUUCCGAGAAAUGCCACUGCAAUUUCCAAACUUUAAAAAAUGCCAUUUCAUGCCAUUUCUAGUGGCAUUUUUCAAAGUCUGGAGUGGCAUUUUUCAAAUUUUGCAAAUUGCGGAGGCGUUUUUCAAAGUUUGCAAAAAUUGGAGUGGCAUUUUUCAAAGUUUGGAAAUUGCAGUGGCAUUUUUAUGAAUCGCCAUAAUUGGAGUGGCAUUUAUCUAAUUUGUUUUUGAUACGGAAGCAGGGUGUCAACUGGGCUGUGCGGGGCACUCUGGCCUGUCUAUACAUCCUUUUCUUUUAUGUUUACCACAAACAGCCCUGUAGUUUUUUUUCUUUCUGAAAAUGUCUAGCCCAGUUUUUUUGUGAUUUCUCAAGUAAGUUGCUUUGUCAGGCCUGUUGGGCUGCAAAUCUUUCAAGACAAGGAGAGCUUCAUUCGGCUGGCCGAGAAAAUGGCCUAUCAGUAAUGAGAAAUUGGAUAUACAUUUUUGAAACACAUCAAACCGACAAUUAGUUUCAAUUUUUUUCAAGAUUUUAAAUUGCAUUGAUUUUUAUGUGUGGACAAUUUGUUGGAUUUUAUACUGAUAUACAUUUAUUUUUACAAUUACUUUGAAUGUGACUCAAAAUUUCGGGAUUAAAAACAGUUCGGAUGCACCGAAAUAUGCAAAAUUUCGUAUAAUUUUUUAACCGUGGCCACAAUAUGGGCUGUAAUGCUAACAAAAAGAAUAUGGGCUCCAAAAAAACCUUAAGAAUUAGCAAAUGGGUUGUAAAUUAUUAGAAAUAAUGGCAGAUGGGUUGUAUGUUGUUUUCCACAGAUUUGAGGCUUUCCUAAAAAAAGGUUGACGCACAAGCAGUGGCUGCGGGACUGCCUGCUCCCUCCUCCCGCGGUCGGCUAUGAGCGCAGGCCUCACUGUCCCACCGUACUCCCAUCACCAGCAUAGCCAUCCCUCUACUCACCCACACCUGCUGUUAUUCUCCGACGACGGCAGAUGAACCAGUAAACCCUCAUACAGUCGUACUCCCCUCCGCGUGGGAAACUAGGCCAUGUCGUUUCCUUCCCUGGCUCCGUGUCGUUUCCUUCCUAGGCCUCGCCGUCGUCCACCGCCCUGGUGCUCUCGGCGCGGCGUGGUCAACGUGGUCAACGACCGACAUGCAUCUGAAGUGGACUGUACGUGGAGAGGCUGACAGCUGGGUCCACGGCCGCACGCAAGGAAAUGCCUCCUUAUUACGUGCAAAAUAAUGAUUUCUCCACCUGACAUCUGGGACCCACAGAAAGGGUCUCUGUAUUUCGCGAAAAAAAAAGUUACCGCCGCUGAAAGCUCGGACCCACCAGCUAUAUCUUCGCACGCAAGGAAGUGCCUCCUUAUUAUGCACAAAAAAAUGAAUACUCCCCCUGCUAGCUAGGACCCUAUAUAGUGGGACGCUGACUUGUGGGCCUACUAAGUUGACGAGGACGGAGGUCUUUGUCAACUUAGUCAAUAUGCACGAUUCUAGCUCCAGUGAUCGUACGAUGUCUAUCCAACGGCCGUAGUGCUUCUUCAACCUCUGGUCUUCUUGCUCCAGCCGCCCAAAGCAGUGUCGUUCGUGCCGCCUGCUCCUGCCUCCCGUGGCCGAUUGUGCUGCCAUGGAGGCCUCACCGCCCCUACUACUCCCACUGCUGGUCAGGCCAUCCCUCCACUCACCCACACCCCCUGUUAUUCUGCGGUAACGUCAGCCUCACACCGCAGCCGAACCAGUGAACCCUCGUACUCCUCUCCGCGUGGGCAUCCACUGUCGCGUCUUCCCUGGCUAAGCGUCGUCCCCUUCCUAGGCCUCGCCGUCGUCCACCGCUGUGGUGCUCUCGAUGCGGCGUGGUCAAUGUGGUCAACGACCGACUUCUAUCGGAAGAGUACUAUAUGUGAAGAGCCUGACAGUUGGGUCCAUGGCAGCCGCAAGGGAGUGCCUCUUUAUUAUGCGCAAAAUAAUUAUUCCUCCACCUGACAGCAGGGACCCACCAGACGGGCCACCGUAUUUCACGAAAAAAAUGUUUCCCCCUAACUGUUGGGACCAACCAGCUACAUCUUCGCACGCAAGGAAGUGCGUUCGGGCAAAAAAAAUGAUUCUCCCCUGUGACUGCUGGGACCCACCAGCUACAUCUUCGCACGCAAGGAAGUGCCCAACAGUCGGGACCCACCUGGUCGAAGCGUACGUAGCGUUGUCAUUAUGGUCGUGAAUGUGUACGUACAUAUUGGUCGAUGUAGAGGCGCGCACGUGUCGUAGUAGAGGCGCGCACAUGUCGUAGUAGAGGCGCACAUAGCAUAUACACAUACGUACAAUGGCCAGGGUGCAAGAAAAUAAAUAUGGCCACGUACGUACAUACGGGCGGGGUCUCGAACGCAUACUCGCGCAUACGUACGGUCAGGGCUCGUGUACAUGGCUGGGUCGGAACGGAGAAACUGCAUCAUCGUCCUGUUCAUGGGGAGCCAACCGGCUGGGUCCGAUCGGAAUGCAUCGUCGUGUUCAUCGGGAGGGCUCGAACGGAACAGCCGAUGGAAACGAGGCCUGGCGUGCCGCAGAACGGAGGAAAUAGCCUUGUGUUCGACCGGCCACGUUCGAAACGGGGUCCUGUUCAUUGGGAGGGGUCUGGCGUACCGCAAAAUGGAGGAAACGAACUUCUGUUGGACCUCCUACGGUCAAAACGGGGUCCUGUUGAUCGGGAGGGGUGUGGCGUACCGCAGAACGGAGGAAACAGACUUGUGUUGGAGCGCUACGGUCAAAACAGGGGUCCUGUUCAUCGGGAGGGGUGUCGCGUACCGCAAAACGGGACUCCACGGGAUACUGUUCAUCUCCACCGUCGACCUCCUCCAGCCUCCACGGGCUACUGUUCAUCCACCGUCGACCUCUCCUCCAGCCUCCACCUGUGACUGUUCCUCCACGGGCUCCUGUUCAUCCAGCCUCCACUGCGCGCUCCUCCACCGGCUACUAUUCAACCAGCCCUCUCCACGGGUUCCUGUUUAACCACCACUCCACAGGUUACUGUUCAUCCAGCCCUCCACCGGCUACUAUUCAACCAGCCCUCCAUGGGGUCGUCCUGUUCAUCUAGCCCUCCACGGGGUCCUAUUCAUCCAGCCCCAACCGUCUUGAUCGGGGUCCUGUUCAUCCAGAAGCAACACCAGGGGUCCUAUUCAUCCACCCCCUUCGGGAACUGUUCAUCCAACCCCCUCCCCCCCCCACCCAACAACGCUCAUUGUUCAUCAAGGGAAAGAGGCAGCAGGGUUCGAUCGACUUCAGUUAGCAGCAGUAGCGAAGGAAUCACUCGGGUUCAGUAACGUAGCUAGUGCAAUCGCUCGGGUUCAGUUAGAGCCCAACGCCUCACUCGGGUUCAGUUAGAGCCCAAUGCCUCGCACACACGUGCGUACGUGUACGAGAGAAACGCGCAUCGCUCGGCCCCCGACCACCCACCGUAACCAGGAACUCCCCGAAAUUUUCUUCGCCCUCGCUUCUACCAUGGUUUUUUCCAUCAUGGACGGGCCAAAGAAUGUCAUGCAGCUGCAUCUCCGGCUCGCCCAGGACGAAAAGCCCAUUUUUGUCAUGAUUUUUUGUCAUAAAAGUAGGAGCCCACCACAUCUAUGAUGAUACCGGGUUUUGUCACAAUUAUCGUCAUAGAAGUGUCAUAAGUAUGACAGAAAAAAAUUCGUUCGACCCAAAAUGUCACGGAUGUGUCUUUUUUUUGUAGUGCCAGCACAUGAUCCACCAUCUUCCAGAUACCGUCAAUGCAGACCACAAUCUGCAUCCACUCCUGAACUACCACCCAAACUCCGCAUGAGCGCUUCGAUGUUGCUCUACAUUGUUUUUAGCAUGUUUGGUAUGCUUGUAUUCUGGAACUACCCUGUGUGGUUGUCCUUGCAUGGACGUGGUUCUACCCCUCUUAGCUGUUGUGACGCCCAGAUAAUCAAGCUACAGCAACCUCUGCCAAUGAUGCCACAUCACCUCGAUUACUGUUGCUAAUCUUGCAUUAGUUCGAAACGGAUUCAAGUUCAAAUUCAAAAUCAAGCAAACAAUAAAAGUUUUCGAAAAUUAAAACUAAAAUUUUCAGAGUGAACCAAGUAAAGCAUAGGUAACUAUGGUGGAGAAACCACACCUUUAUAAAAUAUUUAAAUACUAUUAAAUGGAUAAAACAUCAGCUAAGACUAUAGUUUAAAUACUUUUAAAUAUUAAAUAAUUACAAAACAAUUUUAGUUUGGGUAGCAAGUUAAUGUGGCCAUGGCAUAUUUGGUAACAACAAAUUAUGUGUCGUUUUGGUAUUCUGCUAAAUCUAGAAAUAAUAGGAAACUAAGUGAAAACCGAAAAGAAAUAAAUAAAAAGAAGAUUAACAGAAAAGUAAAAGAGAAGAAAGACCCCCCCCCCAACUGGGCCUCAACCCAGCAGGCCACCGGCCCAACUGGGCAAAGGCCUAACCGCCCAAACUGCCCACUCCCUUAUUCCCCCACGUCCUGAAACCCUAACCCCCACCACGCACUCCCUUCCCCACUCGCUCUCUCCCCCACUCCCCCGAUCCAUAUCGGGAUCGGGGCGAUCACGCCCCCGCCCCCGUUGACUCCUCGCCCCUCCUCNNNNNNNNNNNNNNNNNNNNNNNNNNNNNNNNNNNNNNNNNNNNNNNNNNNNNNNNNNNNNNNNNNNNNNNNNNNNNNNNNNNNNNNNNNNNNNNNNNNNNNNNNNNNNNNNNNNNNNNNNNNNNNNNNNNNNNNNNNNNNNNNNNNNNNNNNNNNNNNNNNNNNNNNNNNNNNNNNNNNNNNNNNNNNNNNNNNNNNNNNNNNNNNNNNNNNNNNNNNNNNNNNNNNNNNNNNNNNNNNNNNNNNNNNNNNNNNNNNNNNNNNNNNNNNNNNNNNNNNNNNNNNNNNNNNNNNNNNNNNNNNNNNNNNNNNNNNNNNNNNNNNNNNNNNNNNNNNNNNNNNNNNNNNNNNNNNNNNNNNNNNNNNNNNNNNNNNNNNNNNNNNNNNNNNNNNNNNNNNNNNNNNNNNNNNNNNNNNNNNNNNNNNNNNNNNNNNNNNNNNNNNNNNNNNNNNNNNNNNNNNNNNNNNNNNNNNNNNNNNNNNNNNNNNNNNNNNNNNNNNNNNNNNNNNNNNNNNNNNNNNNNNNNNNNNNNNNNNNNNNNNNNNNNNNNNNNNNNNNNNNNNNNNNNNNNNNNNNNNNNNNNNNNNNNNNNNNNNNNNNNNNNNNNNGUGGCUCGCCGCGCAUCCCCUGUUCCUACGCCGUUCGCGCCUCCCCCGCUUCGUCUCCGCGCCCCGUUGCGCCCUCCGCCGCUCGGCCUCUGCCCGCGGUGCCACCCCGCGCUGCCCGGGUCCGGCACCCACAGCCGGCGCCCGUUGCUGCGGCCUCAACCUCCUGGGAGGACUCCCCUGAUGCCAGAUGGGUUCGCCCACGCUCAGGCCCCGUCGCCCGCUACCCACUCACCCGCCAAGGCUCCCCCAGAACCACUGACUAGGGGGCCCACGCCCCAAAACAUUUUAUAAAAAGAAAAAAAAGAUUUAAGAAAAAUAAGUAUUAAAAUAAUAAUUAAUUAAUUAACUUAAUUAAUUCUGUUUAGAUUAACCUAAUCAUUAGGUAAACUAAUUAACUCUGUUUAAUCAACCUGCUAAAUAAACAGUGUAUGACAUGCGGGACCCACCAUCAGGUUGACCAGUCAACUCUGUUGACUGCUGACAUUAGCAUGAUAUCAUGAUGAUGUCAUAAAUCCAUUUUCGAAUUAAAUUAAAUAAUUAAUUAAAUUCCUGAAAUUAAUAAAAUCUUUAGAAAAUCAUAUCUUUUAAUCCGUAACUCGGAUUAAAUUAUUUUCAACAUGAAAGUUGCUCAGAACAACGAGACGAUUUCGGAUAUGCAACCCGUUCGUCCGCCACACACCCCUAGCAUAUCGAACACGCAACUUUCCCCCUUCGGUUCAUCUGUCCAAAAACACGGAACACCGGGGAUACUUUCCCGGAUGUCUUCCCCCUCACCGGUAUCACCUCAUACCACGUUAGAACACGUUUAGCUCUGCUUGUUGUCCUGUUAUGCACUUGCUUGCUAUAUAUUUACUAUUUCUCCCCCCUCUUCUCUCCGGUAGACCCUGUGACGAUGUUGAUGCCCCUGUGGUCGACUACAUCACCGACGACCCCUCCUUGUCUGAGCAACCAAGCAAGCCCCCCCCCCCNNNNNNNNNNNNNNNNNNNNNNNNNNNNNNNNNNNNNNNNNNNNNNNNNNNNNNNNNNNNNNNNNNNNNNNNNNNNNNNNNNNNNNNNNNNNNNNNNNNNNNNNNNNNNNNNNNNNNNNNNNNNNNNNNNNNNNNNNNNNNNNNNNNNNNNNNNNNNNNNNNNNNNNNNNNNNNNNNNNNNNNNNNNNNNNNNNNNNNNNNNNNNNNNNNNNNNNNNNNNNNNNNNNNNNNNNNNNNNNNNNNNNNNNNNNNNNNNNNNNNNNNNNNNNNNNNNNNNNNNNNNNNNNNNNNNNNNNNNNNNNNNNNNNNNNNNNNNNNNNNNNNNNNNNNUUGAUCACCAGAUAUCGCCUAUUCUCCUCUAUACUGCUUGCAUUAGAGUAGUGUAGCAUGUUACUGCUUUCCGUUAAUCCUAUUCUGAUGCAUAGCCUGACAUUGUUGCUACAUCUAUUGAUACCUUACCUGCAAUCCUAAAUACUUAGUAUAGGAUGCUAGUUUAUCAUCAUUGGUCUUACAUUCUUGUCAGUCUGCCUUGCUAUACUAUUGGGCCGUGAUCACUCGGGACGUGAUCACGGGUAUAUACAUACAUACAUACUAUACAGAUGGUGACUAAAGUCGGGUCAGCUCGAUGAGUACCCGCAAGUGAUUCUGAUGAGGGGGCUGAAAGGACAGGUGGCUCCAUCCCGGUAGAGGUGGGCCUGGGUUCCCGACAGCCCCGACUAUUACUUUGUGGCGGAGUGACAGGGCAGGUUGAGACCACCUAGGAGACAGGUGGGCCUGGCCCUGUUCGGCGUUCGCGGAUACUUAACACGCUUAACGAGAUCUUGGUAUUUGAUCUGAGUCUGACUACUGGCCUAUUCGCACUAACCAACUACGCGGGAAAGACAUGGGCACUCGACGUCGUGGUAUCAGCCGAAGCCUUCGUGACGUCAGCGACUGAGCGGCGCGCGUCGGGUUGGACUGCGUUAACGCAACUUCCUUUGUAAUGGAGGUUCCUAGGUCUGCUCACCGGCCGCGUACGCAACGUGCAGGUGUGCUAAGGGCGAUGGGCCCAGACCCCUGUGCGCUUAGGUUUAGACCGGCGUGCUGACCUCUCUGUUGUGCCUAGGUGGGGCUGCGACGUGUUGAUCUUCCGAGGCCGGGCAUGACCCAGGAAAGUGUGUUCGGCCAAAUGGGAUCGAGCGUGUUGGGUUAUGUGGUGCACCCCUGCAGGGAAGUUAAUCUAUUCGAAUAGCCGUGAUCUUCGGUAACAGGACGACUUGGAGUUGUACCUUGACCUUAUGACAACUAGAACCGGAUACUUAAUAAAACACACCCUUUCAAGUGCCAGAUACAACCCGGUGAUCGCUCUCUAACAUGGCGACGAGGAGAGGAUCGCCGGGUAGGGUUAUGCUAUGCAAUGCUACUUGGAGGACUUCAAUCUACUCUCUUCUACAUGCUGCAAGACGGAGGCUGCCAGAAGCGUAGUCUUCGAUAGGACUAGCCAUCCCCCUCUUAUUCUGGCAUUCUGCAGUUCAGUCCACUGAUAUGGCCUCCUUACACAUAUACCCAUGCAUAUGUAGUGUAGUUCCUUGCUUGCGAGUACUUUGGAUGAGUACUCACGAUUGCUUUCUCCCCCUUUUCCCCGUUUCCUUUCUUUCUGGUUGUCGCAACCAGAUGCUGGAGUCCAGGAGCCAGACGCCACCGUUGAUGACGACUCCUACUACACCGGAGGUGCCUACUACUACGUGCAGCCCGCUGACGACGACCAGGAGUAGUUUUGGAGGAUCCCAGGCAGGAAGCCUGCGCCUCUUUCGAUCUGUAUCCCAGUUUGUGCUAGCCUUCUUAAGGCAAACUUGUUUAACUUAUGUCUGUACUCAGAUAUUGUUGCUUCCGCUGACUCAUCUAUGAUCGAGCACUUGUAUUCGAGCCCUCGAGGCCCCUGGCUUGUAUUAUGAUGCUUGUAUGACUUAAUUAUGUUUUAGAGAUGUGUUGUGAUAUCUUCCCGUGAGUCCCUGAUCUUGAUCAUACACAUUUGCGUGCAUGAUUAGUGUACGAUUGAAUAGGGGCGUCACAAGUUGGUAUCAGAGUCGACUGCCUGUAGGAAUCCCCCUUCCCAACUCCUUGGCUGAAGUCGAGUCUAGACGUUGCAAAAACUUUUACUAACAUGGCUGUGUGUCUUACCGGCACACGUCGCCAUUGGGUGGUAGUAGGAUCUUUUAUUCCUCGUCUAUACUCUGGGAUUCUGAUCUCUCUUCUAUUCGGGUUAAAUGAUUUUCUAAAAUCUAACUUUAGGUUCUCGAAAAUGCUUUCUCCCGGAGAGCCCCUUCAGUCCAGAUGAUCGCCGACUACACAUGAAGAUUUCAAAGAUACUUUCCGGUACUCUUUCGGGACUGCCCAUUGCUUUUGCAAUUAAAUACCACCGAAAUAUCCCUAUGAAUAAAUUCAUACACCGUUCUUACUUAGUUCCCAGUUACUCUUUUUAUUACAAGAUGCCCUGAAAUAUUCGUUGUUGUUCUUAGAAUACUUAUGCCUACUGCCUUGCGGUUCCUUACCACCUGAAUACCCCUACGGAUAAUUUCUCGCAAUUACCGAGUAUCAACUCAUCCCCAGUUGAUUCAUGUAUGUCACCAAUCCUCAAAAUAUCAUUCGAUCUUCCGAAAAUCCUGAGCAUCCUAUUACUCUUGUAAUUCUUGAUUGCUUGCAUUAUGGUUAAUCCCAUAAGUCUAGUAAUCUUGUUGACAUCCAUUGUCAUUGUCAUUUUGAGUCCGUUGAUUCGAUUUGUUGCGAAUGCUCGCAAUCCUCAAACAGAUCCUAGAAUUCAUCCUUCCGGCUCAAACGUCGUUUUAAUCAUGAGCCGGUUCUCGCCAAUUAAAUUGUCGUCGAUUGUGCCCCUAAGUCUAUUGAACUUAUCCAUCCUUGAUCAGAGCGUCUGCUUCUGAUCCUUUGCUUUGUAAAUCAUAAUUCCUUGGCAAUUGAGCUCUAAGUUAUUCAGUUGUUUCUAUAAUCCAAUGUCUUUGCCUUGCUUCUUCCUCUGGUUGUGUGCCGAUACUCACCCCAGAUCCUUUGUUGGAUUUUAUCCGACAAUAUCCUUCAUAUUCAAUAACCUUGAGCCUUUCCUAGGAUAUAUACCGCCUUUGGUAAAUUGUAUCCUUUGCUUUGUCAACCAUGCUCUACUUUGAGCUUGUGUUAAUUACUCCUGAAGUUCGUGGUAUAUGUUCUAAGAAGCCCCGAUGGCUUGAACAUAUGCCUUCCUUAAUAUGUGUGAACUAGAAAGUUUUCACGAGCCAUACACUCCUGGUAUUUUGCCAGAUAAAAUUUCAACACUACAACCUCCUCGAAAGUGAGAAGUGAAUGAAAGGUUAUGCAUUGGAGAAGUGAGAGUCGACCUUGAACUUGUGUUCAUGCCCAUGGACAUGAUGUAGAUCUUAUCAUUAAAGCUUCUCUUAAAUUAAUUGUCCCUUUGGUAUAAGUUCAUCUUAUAUCUGGGAUCUGGCCUUUUGCAAUCGUGGUUCCGACCAUGUUCUCUUUUAAAUAACAUUUCUCGUGCAAGUUUAAGCACUGAUCUUCUGUAGAGCAAUAGCCCAGUCCAACCUCUACUUUGAUCUGUCAUCGAGUAUUACCCCCCUGGUAUCUCGAGAUUAUCAUGGAACUGUGUAACUUCUUAUGAGUUCUUCAUCAAGUGCUACAUUCCCACUGAUUCCAAUUUUUCACGGGCUCUAAGUUUUUAAACACUCAAAGACACCAAUAACUGAACCGAGUCUGCACUAUGGUUCAACAACUCUUUAGUAAGCUUCUAUAAGUGCGAGUUUGUACCCGAUCACGCCAUUCCUAGCCUGUUUGACUAUAUCAUUGUCGUGAUGAUUCUAACUGUGCUACCUGGUCCUUAUUCUCGAAGCACAAUUUUCGACGUUGAGCUAAGCUUACAUCAACUUUCCUUGUCAUAUCAUUUUGCCUUGAACAACAAGCUUGAUUUCGAGUUGGCGUCGUACCCUUGGUUCCAAUAACAUUUCACUUCAUCAUCCCUUUGAUUAGAUGUCAAUUGUGUUCAUGAUGAGAAAUACCCUCCUUGCCCUCGAUGAUUUUUAUUAUCAUCGACAACACCCUUGACUUCCUUUUAUCGCGAACUUGUCCACAUUCUGAAUACAACUUGCUCUCCAGCUAGUGUUGUGUUCUGCCUUGAAGUAUUACUGUCUUUUAUGUCGAGAAUGUUGUGGGGAUUGCUCCACCUCUUAGAAAUUCUCGAUAUGAUGAUACUUCUCACCAUCACCAUCCUUCCUUGGUCCCCGUGUUGUUUUUAACCAGCAUACCAAUAGAUGAUGUUUGAGUUCUGUACUUCUAGCAACCCUAUUGCUUUGAAGUUAACGAUCGACAGUUCAUUCUUGGACCGUUGAUUAUUGAAUCGUCACUCUAACAUUGAUCUUGCGGCCUAAGGUCAUAUUUCAGGCACACCUUUCAACUAAUGAUUGAUGGUGUAUGUUUUCCUAGAGCAUACAACAUUAUAUCAUUUGAAUUGACAAGUGUCAUCUUCUUGUUCACAUUAUUGUGGAAAUCCAUCCGUUUGGAAUUCUCGAUGAAUUUUCGCUGAGCCCAUCAGCCACCUUCUCAUCCCCUCCUUGGUUUAUUGAUGAACUACUGUUUCAGGAACUCGCUCCCAUAGUUCAUUUCCCGAGAAUCUUGCAAUGUCAUUUCGUCGAUUUGUGUUGCACCUUUUCUUCUCGGGCAUCCUGAGUCUGAGGUAUCAUGACAUCAAUCGGAUCUGAAUCUCAGUCAGAUAUGAUGGCUGGGACAACUUUCCAGGAGUUAUGAUGUUGGUCCUUUGAUGACCCGGUAAUAUGACGUCAUGCCUAGCACCCCCUGGCUAGAGGACCUAUCAUUAUAAUUUCUUUUGCAAGGAUAACCAUUCUUCCUGGAGAAAUUGUAAGACUUAUUCUAUAAGUUGUUCCUGAUGGAUCCUUUGUGUUUCCAAAGUCUGAUCUUCACCUGAUGACCAUGUCAAUGCUAUCUCGAAGCAUGUCUAUGGUACUCCGAUUUUCAACAAGAACAUUUGAAGCCCAAUGCUAAAUGUUUCUUGCUCAAUUAUCCAAACACCGUUGCCUGGGUAAUGUCCUGAAAUUUCUCUCCCCUUACCUAAAGUGUUUUCUACUUUAUAUCCUAUCAUGGAUAUCUUGCUCUGUUUGUCCUUGGGAAGGAAAUACCCCGAAAUAUGUGUCUUCACACAUUUUCCUUUCCAUUGUUCUGAUUAAUCUGAUAAUCAUAUUUUCCUUUGCAUUGUUUGAUUUAACCUUUCUUGUGAUCUAUAUGACCUAAGCAGUAAUAUUCUCCUGCUUAUGUAAACACCUCGUGGUACCGCUCUGUCAGUAAGACCCUGUUACUAUUGUUGAUGACAUUCCGGUAGCCAUCGAUGGAGAGAACCUUGCCUAUUGGCCCGCCUCAUUCAACAAGCAGGAAAAUGGUUCUCUUCGUCCCUCGCCCUUGGUAUCGAUGUUGUUGCCAACAAAACUGAUAGGCUACCCUCUGACACGCCUUAAUAUCGUGACCGUGCAAGAUGUCGGCCCCCUUCCUACUUUCAACCAUAUGGUGGGCCCAUAACCCACAGUUCCACAGGAUCGAAACCUGACUCUCCUGCACCCCCUGAUCCCAAGGUUGCUCCUCGCGUGUGGCCUCGUAUGUAAUUCACGAGCCAUCUUCCGAGGGUUCCUCAGAUCUGUUGCCGGACACAAUACUUAUUCCCGAUUGCUUUGAGCCCCUUUCACGCCCUGUUUCAGGCAUCGAACGGUUGCCUGCUCGCUCGAAACUUCCCAUGAAACCUCAUUACUUUCCUCUUGAUAUUUUCUUAAGUUUCAAUUCGAGAGUUACUUUCUGCCACCUUCCCCGAUGAUAUCGACCAGAUAGUCAACCUUGUAGAGGUUCGUUCUCCCGGAAUACCCCUUAUUCUUUCGUAUGUACGAUGGAACCCCUAAAGAAAGGAUACCGACUUUAUCUUGAUGACCUGAAGCAGAAAAAUGAAGACAUCAAUAUAAUGGAUCGACCACUUCGAGAAGAGCAAUCAAGACCGAGAAGAUUCGUUAGAAUUUCGUAACCAGACCUUUCCCCGUUUUCCACCUCUUAAAUCUCGGGACGAGAUUUCUUAUAGUGGAGGAGAAUUGUGACGCCCGGAUAAUCAAGCUACAGUAACCUCUGCCAAUGAUGCCACAUCACCUCGAUUACUGUUGCUAAUCUCGCGUUAGUUCGAAACCGAUUCAAGUUCAAAUUCAAAAUCAAGCAAACAAUAAAAGUUUUCAAAAAUUAAAACUAAAAUGUUCAGAGUGAACCAAGUAAAGCAUAGGUAACUAUGGUGGAGAAACCACACCUUUAUAAAAUAUUUAAAUACUAUUAAAUGGAUAAAACAUCAGCUAAGACUAUUAUUUAAAUACUUUUAAAUAUUAAAUAAUUACAAAACUAUUUUAGUUUGGGUAGCAAGUUAAUGUGGCCAUGGCAUAUUUGGUAACAACAAAUUAUGUGUCGUUUUGGUAUUUUGCUAAAACUAGAAAUAAUAGGAAACUAAGUGAAAACCGAAAAGAAAUAAAUAAAAAGAAGAUUAACAGAAAAGUAAAAGAGAAGAAAGACCCCCCCCCCAACUGGGCCUCGAACCAGCAGACCACCGGCCCAACUGGGCAAAGGCCCAACCGCCCGAACCGCCCACUCCCUUAUUCCCCCACGUCCUGAAACCCUAACCCCCACCACGCACUCCCUCCCCCACUCGCUCUCUCCCCCACUCCCCCGUUGACUCCUCGCCCCUCCUCUCCCUCGCGCGACGCCCGACGGAAGCCNNNNNNNNNNNNNNNNNNNNNNNNNNNNNNNNNNNNNNNNNNNNNNNNNNNNNNNNNNNNNNNNNNNNNNNNNNNNNNNNNNNNNNNNNNNNNNNNNNNNNNNNNNNNNNNNNNNNNNNNNNNNNNNNNNNNNNNNNNNNNNNNNNNNNNNNNNNNNNNNNNNNNNNNNNNNNNNNNNNNNNNNNNNNNNNNNNNNNNNNNNNNNNNNNNNNNNNNNNNNNNNNNNNNNNNNNNNNNNNNNNNNNNNNNNNNNNNNNNNNNNNNNNNNNNNNNNNNNNNNNNNNNNNNNNNNNNNNNNNNNNNNNNNNNNNNNNNNNNNNNNNNNNNNNNNNNNNNNNNNNNNNNNNNNNNNNNNNNNNNNNNNNNNNNNNNNNNNNNNNNNNNNNNNNNNNNNNNNNNNNNNNNNNNNNNNNNNNNNNNNNNNNNNNNNNNNNNNNNNNNNNNNNNNNNNNNNNNNNNNNNNNNNNNNNNNNNNNNNNNNNNNNNNNNNNNNNNNNNNNNNNNNNNNNNNNNNNNNNNNNNNNNNNNNNNNNNNNNNNNNNNNNNNNNNNNNNNNNNNNNNNNNNNNNNNNNNNNNNNNNNNNNNNNNNNNNNNNNNNNNNNNNNNNNNNNNNNNNNNNNNNNNNNNNNNNNNNNNNNNNNNNNNNNNNNNNNNNNNNNNNNNNNNNNNNNNNNNNNNNNNNNNNNNNNNNNNNNNNNNNNNNNNNNNNNNNNNNNNNNNNNNNNNNNNNNCCCCCCAUCUCCGUCGCGCUCCAGCGCCCGCCCGUGGCUCGCCGCGCAUCCCCUGUCCCUGCGCCGUUCGCGCCUCCCCCGCUUCUUCUCCGCGCCCCGUUGCGCCCUCCGCCGCUCGGCCUCUGCCCGCGGUGCCACCCUGCGCUGCCCGGGUCCGGCACCCACAGCCGGCGCCCGUCGCCGCGGCCUCAACCUCCUGGGCGGGCUCCCCUGACGCCAGGCGGGUUUGCCCACGCUCAGGCGCCCGUCGCCCGCUACCCACUCACCCGCUAAGGCUCCCCCAGAACCACUGACUAGGGGGCCCACGCCCCAGAACAUUUUAUAAAAAGAAAAAAAGAUUUAAGAAAAAUAAGUAUUAAAAUAAUAAUUAAUUAAUUCUGUCUAGAUUAACCUAAUCAUUAGGUAAACUAGUUAACUGUUUAAUCAACCUGCUAAAUAAACAGUGUAUGACAUGCGGGACCCACCAUCAGGUUGACCAGUCAACUCUGUUGACUGCUGACAUUAGCAUGAUAUCAUGAUGAUGUCAUAAAUCCAUUUUCGAAUUAAAUUAAAUAAUUAAUUAAGUUCCUGAAAUUAAUAAAAUCUUUAGAAAAUCAUAUCUUUUAAUCCGUAACUCGGAUUAAAUUAUUUUCAACAUGAAAGUUGCUCAGAACAACGAGACGAUUUCGGAUAUGCAACCCGUUCGUCCGCCACACACCCCUAGCAUAUCGAACACGCAACUUUCCCCCUUCGGUUCAUCUGUCCGAAAACACGGAACACCGGGGAUACUUUCCCGGAUGUCUUCCCCCUCACCGGUAUCACCUCAUACCACGUUAGAACACGUUUAGCUCUGCUUGUUGUCCUGUUAUGCACUUGCUUGCUAUAUAUUUACUAUUUCUCCCCCCUCUUCUCUCCGGUAGACCCUGUGACGAUGUUGAUGCCCCUGUGGUCGACUACAUCACCGACGACCCCUCCUUGUCUGAGCAACCAAGCAAGCCCCCCCCCCCNNNNNNNNNNNNNNNNNNNNNNNNNNNNNNNNNNNNNNNNNNNNNNNNNNNNNNNNNNNNNNNNNNNNNNNNNNNNNNNNNNNNNNNNNNNNNNNNNNNNNNNNNNNNNNNNNNNNNNNNNNNNNNNNNNNNNNNNNNNNNNNNNNCUAUACUGCUUGCAUUAGAGUAGUGUAGCAUGUUACUGCUUUUCGUUAAUCCUAUUCUGAUGCAUAGCCUGACAUUGUUGCUACAUCUGUUGAUACCUUACCUGCAAUCCUAAAUACUUAGUAUAGGAUGCUAGUUUAUCAUCAUUGGUCUUACAUUCUUGUCAGUCUGCCUUGCUAUACUAUUGGGCCGUGAUCACUCGGGACGUGAUCACGGGUAUAUACAUACAUACAUACUAUACAGAUGGUGACUAAAGUCGGGUCAGCUCGAUGAGUACCCGCAAGUGAUUCUGAUGAGGGGGCUGAAAGGACAGGUGGCUCCAUCCCGGUAGAGGUGGGCCUGGGUUCCCGACGGCCCCCGACUGUUACUUUGUGGCGGAGCGACAGGGCAGGUUGAGACCACCUAGGAGACAGAUGGGCUUGGCCCUGUUCGGCGUUCGCGAAUACUUAACACGCUUAACGAGAUCUUGGUAUCUGAUCUGAGUCUGGCUACUAGCCUAUUCGCACUAACCAACUACGCGGGAAAGAUAUGGGCACUCGACGUCGUGGUAUCAGCCGAAGCCUUCGUGACGUCAGCGACUGAGCGGCGCGCGCCGGGUUGGACUUGUUAACGCAACUUCCUUUGUAAUGGAGGUUGCUAGGUCUGCUCACCGGCCGCGUACGCAACGUGCAGGUGUGCUAAGGGCGAUGGGCCCAGACCCCUGUGCGCUUAGGUUUAGACCGGCAUGCUGACCUCUCUGUUGUGCCUAGGUGGGGCUGCGACGUGUUGAUCUUCCGAGGCCGGGCAUGACCCAGGAAAGUAUGUCCGGCCAAAUGGGAUCGAGCGUGUUGGGUUAUGUGGUGCACCCCUGCAGGGAAGUUAAUCUAUUCGAAUAGCUGUGAUCUUCGGUAACAGGACGACUUGGAGGUGUACCUUGACCUUAUGACAACUAGAACCGGAUACUUAAUAAAACACACCCUUUCAAGUGCCAGAUACAACCCGGUGAUCGCUCUCUAACAGGGCGACGAGGAGAGGAUCGCCGGGUAGGGUUAUGCUAUGCGAUGCUACUUGGAGGACUUCAAUCUACUCUCUUCUACAUGCUGCAAGACGGAGGCUGCCAGAAGCAUAGUCUUCGAUAGGACUAGCUAUCCCCCUCUUAUUCUGGCAUUCUGCAGUUCAGUCCACUGAUAUGGCCUCCUUACACAUAUACCCAUGCAUAUGUAGUGUAGUUCCUUGCUUGCGAGUACUUUGGAUGAGUACUCACGGUUGCUUUCUCCCCCCUUUUCCCCCUUUCCUUUCUUUCUGGUUGUCGCAACUAGAUGCUGGAGUCCAAGAGCCAGACGCCACCGUCGACGACGACUCCUACUACACCGGAGGUGCCUACUACUACGUGCAGCCCGCUGACGACGACCAGGAGUAGUUUUGGAGGAUCCUAGGCAGGAGGCCUGGGCCUCUUUUGAUCUGUAUCCCAGUUUGUGCUAGCCUUCUUAAGGCAAACUUGUUUAACUUAUGUCUGUACUCAGAUAUUGUUGCUUCCGCUGACUCAUCUAUGAUCGAGCACUUGUAUUCGAGCCCUCGAGGCCCCUGGCUUGUAUUAUGAUGCUUGUAUGACUUAAUUAUGUUUUAGAGUUGUGUUGUGAUAUCUUCCCGUGAGUCCCUGAUCUUGAUCAUACACAUUUGCGUGCAUGAUUAGUGUACGAUUGAAUCGGGGACGUCACAGCUGUGAGGGGGCAUCUCAUGUUUUCAUAUGUGUUUUGGGUGUUUGUAAUGCCGAGGUGGUUUCUUUAAUGAAAAUCGACAAGGGAGCUCCUGGUUUUGAAAAAAUAAUAUGCACAGAUAAGAUGAAAUUGAUGUUAUGUUUCUUAUGGUUUGUCUCAUUCUUUGUGCAUAAGAAUAUAAAACAUGAGCCUGGAGUCGAUUGUAAAAUUCCUUUCCUUUCCUUUCCUGUGAAACUCGAUCGAGAGGAAAGCAUCCUCCAUUUUCCCUCUUUCAUGGCAAUACACGUCUCAUUCAUAUAAUUAUCAUUAUAUGAAUGAUCCAUGUACAAACCACGUACACGCUGACCUAACAUAACUAGAAAGAUAGCAAACCAUAUCUUUUGCACAAAGCACCCCUAGCAAAGAAGAAAAUUUAUAAUCAAUGUCAAAGAAUCCUCUGAGCUCGAAGCCAAUGCCCGCCAUCCACGAAUAUCCCUAUUUAUUUUAUUCACCGCUGUUGUCACCCUCGACGGAGCCAAGAUGCUGGUCGGCCAAAAACCNNNNNNNNNNNNNNNNNNNNNNNNNNNNNNNNNNNNNNNNNNNNNNNNNNNNNNNNNNNNNNNNNNNNNNNNNNNNNNNNNNNNNNNNNNNNNNNNNNNNNNNNNNNNNNNNNNNNNNNNNNNNNNNNNNNNNNNNNNNNNNNNNNNNNNNNNNNNNNNNNNNNNNNNNNNNNNNNNNNNNNNNNNNNNNNNNNNNNNNNNNNNNNGACGACCAAGUCUUCAGUGGAGGGGUCCCGCCGAAGGCCGGCAUUGGAAGGCUCGGCCGCCUUUCAUUUCUUCCACAAGAAGAAAGAAACAACAACAUUAUCCGAUCCAUUCCUUCAUUUUUCCUAACGUCCAUUCCUUUAAAUCAAAUGGAGGAAAAUUUUCUACGCCUAUGAAUUUUCUCUACUUUUCGUAUAAAUCAAAGAGGCCCUUGGGGCAUCUCUAACACGGGCCCUCGAACGACCUGCAGCCGCCUAGACCGAGAGGUCGGGACUAAACUUGUCAUCCAACAUGGUACCCCAUUGAUCCGCAGACUGGUUUGGUUGUCCGUAUUUCCCCCAAACCGGAUGCAAAUCAGGGAGCUUUGCGGGUGUUCGGACGGCAGCCACGUACGCGUAUUCAUGCCGGUCAGCGCUCCUCGAGAGUGGACAUGACUCCACGACAUUAAUAUCGGUCAGACCGAUGCGACCGGAUGAGGGGACGAGGCCUCUAGCCGCUGCGCUACAUUGAAGCCGGCUUCCCGGCCCUUUGACUAGCCACUCCUAUUAAACAGGAUUCCGGCGUCUUUCCACAUUGCACCGCACUCUUCCUCUCCGCUCCUGGCCUCUCCGAUCCUCUCUGAUCGUCCACAUUGCAUGGGCACGCACGUACAUACGAUGUUGGCACUGUAGCACGUACGUUUAGCGUGACACGAGACGCGGUAAUGACAAAGAUCCAGGGGCCCCGAGGUCAUGCAGGCGGCAAUACGGCGGGCGCGGCGACAUGACCCGAUGCAGCUGGGCAAUCUCGUCGGCACCCGGGCUCCGGACAAGAGUUUGCGCUAUGUACUACGUACUGCCGCUGCUGUGGUGAUUACGAGAUGAGCCUGGCUGGCAUGGUACAUGGGCCGGCCGGCGGUCGUCCGUACAUGGAUCUUCUUCCAUCCAGAGGUUGACAGCCCAAUCCUUCACUUCACUCUUUCAGUCGUCGUAAGGCCAACUCCACCGCGCGACCCCAAAUGGACGUCCAUUUUGUCCAGUUUCUGUCCGUUUGGGUAGGGAUUUGGGGUCGUGCUCGGGCCUGUCCUGGGAUGCGGUGGCCGUGCGCCCAGCGCGCGACCGCAUCCAUUUGCCCCAUCCUGUCAGUCAGGGCCAAAAAUGCCCAAAUUUGCAUCAAAACUAGUUUCCAACCCAAAUAUUUGUCUGAAAAUUAAAAUAGUUUUACAACUCAAUUGAAAUUGUCUUUAAUAAAAUAGUUUUACAACCAAAUCGAAAUUGUCUUGACUGAACCUAAAUUGGACCAAUACAUCUAUUGGUUGCCAAUGUGAUCUCAGACGUGCUCAACCAAGUCAUUUUGAAGAUUCAAAUGAGUGUGCCAAUCACGCAUCUCACAAUGGAAUUGAACAAACUGUUCAAAUGUGGCCGGGUCUUGGUGCAGGGGCUCAAUAUUUUCACCUUGAUAAUCAAAUCCUUGGUCGAAGAUACUCUCAUCACGCUCGUCCUCGACGAUCAUGUUGUGCAUAAUCACACAAGCAGUCAUCAUCUCCCAAAGCUUCCUUUCAUCCCAUGACAGUGCAGGGUUUCGAACGAUACCCCACCGUAAUUGAAGCGCACCAAAAGCACGUUCCACAUCCUUUUUAACACUCUCUUGCAUUUGGGCAAAUCUCUUUCUCUUCUCACCUUGGGGUUUCGAGAUUGUCUUCACAAAAGUUGACCAUUGAGGAUAUAUAUACCAUCUGCUAGAUAGUAUCCCUUGUUGUACUGGUGGUCGUUGAUCUCAAAGUUGACAGGUGGGGAGUGGCCUUCUGCAAGCCUUGCGAAGACUGGAGAGCGCUGUAGCACGUUGAUAUCAUUGUGAGAACCUGCCAUGCCGAAAAAAGAAUGCCACAUCCCGAUCUUGCGAUGUCACCGCUUCUAAUAUGACAGUGCACCCGUUAACAUGCCCCUUGUACUGGCCAUGCUAAGCAAAUGGACAGUUCUUCCACUCCCAAUGCAUACAAUCUAUGCUGCCAAGCAUGCCUGGAAAGCCUCUAGCUGCGUUGGUCGCCAACAAUCUCUCUGUAUCAACGGUAGUUGGCUGCCUCAAGUACUCUGGGCCAAACACCUCGAUCACGGCCUGGCAAAACUUGUACAUUGACAUCAGACAUGUUGUAUCACUCAUACGCACAUACUCGUCCACCAGAUCGCCUGGAAUACCAUAUGCAAGCAUGCGGAUGGCCGCGGUGCAUUUCUGGUAAGAGGAGAAUCCAAGCUUGCCAAGGGCAUCCGUCUUGCACUCGAAGUAUGGGUCAUGAGCAACCACUCCUUCUCGGAUACGAUUGAACACAUGCCUUGCCAUACAAAAACGGCGACGAAAUUUAUCCUGCUUGAAGAGCAGGGUGUUGGCAAAGUAAUCGGCAUAAAGCAGGGCGUGGCCUCUCUCUCUGUUGCGGUUCAGGUUAGGAGCACGGCCAGGGAGUGACCCCCUGUACUGAGGAAGCUGCCGUUGAAUAUGGUCGUGAACGACCAGUGCAGCCACCACAAGAUCUUCAUCAUCCGACGACGAAUCGUCCAACGAACAAAGGAAGUGAUGAAAGAAAAACUCGUCUCCACUGUCCAUACCUUUGAUGGCAAAAAGUCGAACACCUUUCGGUCGUGGUGGCGAAGAGGCCGCGAUGAUCACCUCGACGCAGCAGGGAUGGUUGCCGGCCGGCUACUGGCCGCUCUGGAGCUCUCGUCGGAAUCCGCCUUGGUCCGUCACCGGCAGUCGUGUCCCCUCCGCCACCGGCAAGGACGGCGACGGCCAAACCUCCCCCGAUAGACGACCAAAACUACGGCGAAAGCGCGGGCGUGGUGGCGGCCAUGUCGAGACGUAGUUUGGUAUGGACGACGCGGGGCUGCGCGGUGAGGAGGCGGCCGGAGAAUAGGGGUGACGCCGGCGGCGGGGCGGGGCGGGGAGAGAGGGUGAAGCGUUGGGAGCGGAGGGACUGCUAGUGUCCCCGACAGGCGGGCCACGGUGGGGACAAGGGCGUGCGUCGCGGCCGUCCGCACGCGUCUGUUUCACCCCAAACCGAGCGCAAGUUUGGGCCGGGGAUGGGUCGAAAACGGACGGAAUCCGGACAUUUGUCCGUUUGAGGCCGCGCGCUGGGCCGCCUCUUUUGUCNNNNNNNNNNNNNNNNNNNNNNNNNNNNNNNNNNNNNNNNNNNNNNNNNNNNNNNNNNNNNNNNNNNNNNNNNNNNNNNNNNNNNNNNNNNNNNNNNNNNNNNNNNNNNNNNNNNNNNNNNNNNNNNNNNNNNNNNNNNNNNNNNNNNNNNNNNNNNNNNNNNNNNNNNNNNNNNNNNNNNNNNNNNNNNNNNNNNNNNNNNNNNNNNNNNNNNNNNNNNNNNNNNNNNNNNNNNNNNNNNNNNNNNNNNNNNNNNNNNNNNNNNNNNNNNNNNNNNNNNNNNNNNNNNNNNNNNNNNNNNNNNNNNNNNNNNNNNNNNNNNNNNNNNNNNNNNNNNNNNNNNNNNNNNNNNNNNNNNNNNNNNNNNNNNAUCCUGUAUGCCCCCGUCCGUUUGGGGUAAAAGGGACAAACGAGACGGCCCAACGCGCGGGCGCAAACGGACUUUUGUCCGUUUUGUGUCCGCUUUCGACCCAUCCGCGGCCCAAGUUUGCGCCGCUUUUGGGGUGAAACGGACACCACGCGGACGCGCAGGUCGUCUGCGCGUGUCCUCCCCUGGCCCGUCCGUCGGUGGCACAAGACGGGCCUUUUUCUAUCCUUCCCCCUUCCUCCCUCCGGCCACAUCCACUCCACACUUCCCCUCGCCGUCGACGGCCGCCCGCUGCCAUUGCAGCCGUGCAACUCGGACGCGCGCUUGCCCAGCCCCUUCCUCUCGUCGCCGCCGAGCUACCCAAGCACAGCCACCUUGUUUGCGCGCCCGCCGGCCGGAUUUGGGGCGGAUCCGGUCGGUCUUGAGCUCGCCCGGCUGUGGGAGGCCGGGCCGCGCCAUGGACUGGCCGGGAACCUCGCCGGAAGGCCCUGGCAGGGCUGCAAGGCCACAUGCAGGCAAUGGCUCGUCCUCUAGCCGCUCAGAUCUGCACCGUCGGUGGCCCGCCGGCAGAUACGCGAAUGGCGGCCGGCCGGGCUCGGUGCUUGCCCAAAAGCUCGUCGGCGCACCAUUGCCCCUCAUCAAGUGCGACCACUGCCCAAGGGUGGUCGUGCGCCGCGUGUCUACAACGCCGGAGCAUCCCGGAUGGGUGUUCAUCAAGUGCUUAAACGAUGGGGUAUGUGCUCUUUUAGCUUCGGUUUGUGCUUUUGAUUAGACUAGUGGUGCUAACUUUAAGUUUUAUUGUGUAGAACGGAUGCAAAUUUUGGUAUUGGGAAGAAGAGUACAUCGAUAUGUUGAUAGAGCGAAAUGUAUUGCGUGUUCGUGCACUUUUAGCUAGCCUAGAGGCUUUAGAUGAGACAAGUGCACUUGUUGCUAGAUUAGAGACUAGGCACGAUACUACGUGCGAAGAAGCAACAAGGCACGAUACUACGUGUGAGGAAGCAACGUCGACUUCUGGCUUGAAGAAGAAAGAAGGGUGCAACGUCGUGCCUCCUCCACAGAUCAACAAUGAGUGCAUCGAGAAGGCGCUAACCCAACUCAAGGGAGUAGUUAUGAAAGUUGGGUAUCUUCUCAAAUGUAUUCUUGUGGUUCUUGUUUUCUUUGGCCUUGCUUUAAUAGUCAAAAUGUAAUGAUGUAUUAUCAUGUAUCAAAAAUGAAUGAUAAAAAAAAGUUAAGAACUUGCAAAGAAAUAUACGCGGAUAGGAUGGGGCAAAUAGAUGCGGCCGCGCGCUGGGCGCACGGCCACCGCAUCCCAGGACAGGCUCGGACACGACCCUAAAUCCCUACCCAAACAAACAGAAUCCGGAUAAAACGGACGUCCGUUUGGGGUCGCGCGGUGGAGUUGGCCUAAGACUCCAGCAGCAACGUCCUUUCACUGCGCCGCCGUACAUUUGUUUCGCCACGGCGUGGGGUUUUGACCAUUGGCCGGCCGGCCGGCCGGGCGCGUGCUGCCCGAGGCGUGUGCGACGCGCAGCAGGAUAGCUUCCGUUUUAUUACCAGCAAGUAGCCUCCAAAGUUUUUUUGCCGUGUGGUAAUAAAUCUGGAGCGUGGUCAAUUCUGCGAUUUGGCUUUACCGAAUACCCCCAGCCCCAGCAGUACGGGUACACCAGUUUUUUUGGUGGGUUGGCUAACCAUCCAAAACGAUGCGCGCUCCGUGUCGGGCAUGUACGGACCACAAACAUCUUCCAAAACUCUGGGCACCGUAACAGAGGUCUCGCUUGGCUUAACUGGCAUAUGGUAAAACCACCGUACAAAAAGGAUGUCUGGUAAAACUGUAAAUUGGAGGUGGAAAAGUAAGAGCAUCUACAAUGGGACGGCCCAUAACUGCCCAUGGCCUGCCCAAUCACUGUCCGGACAGAAAACGCCACCAAACCGGACCGGGCAAAUCCAACCAAAAUGUCUGGGCUUACCGACAACCCCAUGCCCAACACAUAUGUGGAACGGAUACAGGAACGUUCGGAUGCGUUCGUCACGUAGGACUGACAACAAAGGCUACCAUGAAAUCGCUUGAAGACGUUCCCUCCUUGCUACUUGACCUGCCUUGUUCCUCUCCUCUUUUCUACCUGGUUCGCUCAGCCGCCACCGUAGUAGCUCCGAAGCCAUACUUGCUAUGCUGUCAUCCCCACGUUGCCGCCACCGGACGCCUCAACCCACAACGCUGUCGACCUCGCCACUACCGGACGCCGCCCCGAUACGUCCAACUCCUCCGGAUAUAUACCUCAUGCUCUAUGUGUUUGAUGAAAUGUCUGAGUGGUUUUAUUUAUUUAUUUUUUGUUCAUUUGUAGGUCAUCAAUGGAUUCAUCUUGGAAUGAUGGCUAUGGAAACACCGGCCUUGACUAAUAAUUCAUAUACAAAGGGUUCAUCGAAUCGUCGGAUUCAGACGAUAAAGAUGCUGAAAUGAUGAUGAUGAUGAUGAUGAUGAGCAUCCAAGAAGAAAUGGAGAAGAAAGAGGAGCAUCUACUGAACUUCAAGGGUUCGAUAAAAGGGCCAAAGAGUUAUUCCCCUAGAUAUGAUCGCCGGUGCACAACUUCUGUACAUGGACUACCACAGUGGACCUAACAUACCAUUUCUGUCAACGUCGCUUCCAGAUGCACUACUAGGAAAAGGCCUACUAAUGGCGCACCUAAUUUGGCCAUUAAUGGCGCAUUAGUGGUGUGCCAUUAGUGCCACGCCAUUAGUAUAUUUUACUAAUGGCGCACCACUGGUGCGCCAUUAGUAUCUGGUAUACUAAUGGCGCACCACUGGAUGCGCCAUUAGUAUAUACAACAGUGCGCCAUUAGUAUGCCUCCCAGGGGGCCAUGUAUACCCAGGUGCUUUGGCAUACUAAUGGCGCACAACAACAAGAUGCGCCAUUAGUAACUUCGGCAUCUAAUGGCGCACUGUUUAAUGGUGCGCCACUAGUAUCCUUUGGCAUACUGAUGGCGCACUGUGAUGUGAUGCGCCAUUAGUAUGAAUAUUAGGGUUUUUUUAUUUUUUUUAUUUUCUAUUUUUUGCACAGGUUACAAAAUGUAUAAUUGGACAAAAUAUAGACAGCACACAUCAACAACAGAUUCAUCGAAUACAAUAGAAGAUUAGUCUCUGAAUACAAUUCAUCAUAUUAGUCUCUGAAUACAAUUCAUCAUAUUAGUCUCCGAAUUGAAAAGACCGAACAAAGAUAGAACAUUAUAUUACAAGUCUCGAGACCGCGAGUAGCGAGUUUGUCUUCACAUUACAAGUCGAUAUCGAUCAUCGAAACUACCAUCACAUAGAAGAGAGUUGCGGUCAUCACGAUGAGCAUCAUCACGAUGAAACUCGUCUUCAUCCGGUUCCUCCAACGCUCCCUCCUCUCUCCCGCUAGAUAGCGGGCGUACCUAGAUUCAGCCUCGGCCCUAGUGGUGUACCCUUUGUAACUGUUACCGCUGAAUCGGUGAACCUGUCUCCGACACUUCUCCCAGUCGUCGUAGACUCCGGGAACCUUACCCUUGUACACGACAUACGACGGCAUCGCUAUGCACUAGCCAAACAAAACGUUAGUACCAAUUCACAGACAAUACAUAAGCAAUAUAUAAGUAUGCAACAGAACAAUCGGAAGAGAAAAGCAAGACAUUAAUAGCAUCGAUUACAUCUAAGUUGAACGACUCUCGAAACCAAAGAGACAUACUACAAGUUCAUUGAAGUUUAAUUAUAACAUGAGCCAAUCGAUGUUUCAGAACUAGACACAGCAUCACUGCUUUCGACUCGACUCAAGGGACCGGAGCGUGGAUGAAGUCGCCGUCUAUCGUGGGAGUCAUGAAAGAACGGGCGUUGUCAGCCUGCAUUUGUAGCAUUGUGUUGAUGUCACUGUUGGACGGUUGAUUUCUGAGGUAGAACUGCCACGAGGUACGAAGGACAUCUUGAUGGAUGAUUUCCGCAAACUCCGACUGGAUGCGAAAGAAUUCUUGUCUGAUGUCCGCGUCCUGGAUUGCCGACACGCUCGCGGACCAAUCUUUGAGUUUGCUCGGUAGCAGAAGUUGAUGAUGGUCUCGUACGAUCGCCCGCAUGUGAUGGAUGGUGUAGUAGGCACCCUUCUGACCGCCAGGCGGCUGCUUGACGCAGCAGAACGUCGUAUUGUGGGAGAACACGUGCUUGCCGUACUUACGAAUAGGCCUGGUGAAGGUGCCUCCAGAUUUGGCGUAGCCGGGGAGAACAUCAUCAAGAACCUUCUUGACAUUUGUGUAGUCUACGUUCGACUGACGGUCCGGGUCGAAAUACAUGGCCAUGGAAUAUUUGGGGCUUAGGAGGAUGAGCGUGCAAUGUGUGUCACUGCAGAAAACACGGAAUGUUAAAAGAAAAACGAUCGAAAUCUAAGAAUUCAUAUGUUACGGGCCGGUUGAGGGGAGGACUUACUCGGGAAAGUAAGGCACGAGGAAGUUAUCCUUAUCUUGGUUUGCCAGAAUGACGCCUUCGAGGUAAGAACUCGCGACUUGCCGGUCCCCGGCGCUGCCCAAGAUCUUGGCACGCAUGUAGAAGGGGUCGACUAUCACGAUGUCCGGGGUCUUGUCGCGAAUGAUCCGCAUCUCCAUACUCAGCGAAAAUAGCCGAACGAAGGUGUAGUGCAGCGGAUGAAGGUUCAACAUAGCGUGGAUGUCAUCAAACCGCAGGACGAUCGUACGCCCGAUGGAGUUAUCCACAAAGCCCUUGCCCUCUGGCACCUUGGCCGCGAAAACCGGGUAUGCCACAUCCUUCUCUCUGAGACGCCGCUUCUCCAAAGAAAGAACACUGUCAUGCAGACUCCGCAUAGCACCAGUUGCAGCAUUGAGCAUAUUUGUCGGUAGCAUCGCCCUACCCGCCACAUGCACCCUCCUCGAGAUAUCCUUAGGUGAAGGUGGCCCGUCCUGAGCACGGAUCGUACUCGGUGCCGGCUGGCUCGCACCCUUGUUAGUCUUUCUUUUGCGUGCCUUCUUCUUCUCCUGUAAUGGGACCGAUUUCUGCUCACAGACCGCCUUCUUGAGUGUGUUUGGGCUGAUAAUAUUUUGCACCUCGCCUAUCUGAGGCUCGGUGAAGUCGACAGCUGGAGGCGUCUCCUGAGAGCUGAACGGCAGACGACGCCUGUUGCAACUUGGCUUCUCCGUGGUACCAGCUAGAUCGCGCACGUCUUUUGUUGGGUUGGGUUCUUGAGAAGGAGUCCCCAUGAAGUCGCCAUCGUACCCAUGUUCGGCAAAGUACUGAUCGACGUUGCCAAAUGUAUCGUCGUCGUCGUCGUUUUGAUCCUGUGCCAUAUGCAUGUUUGGAUCCAGUGGCACAGGGAUGUCCGGCACUGUUGCGGCGGUCUUGCCAUGGGGCCGACUUGGCGCCGGCACGACUGGCGGUGUUGUCUUUGGGGUGGUGUCCCCCGCCCCCAAACGAAUCUGGCUCUUCGGCCAAAGCAGGGGCCAGCUCAGGCAGGCGCUGAGGGUCAUCACGUCAUCAUCGUCGGCCCCGACGGGUCGAAUCAGAGGUAACAACUCGUCGCAGCCUGGCAGCACCCGAACCAGUUCAACCCUAAACAAGUUGGGUGGCAUCUGGGUACCGUGGAACAAGGGGUUGCCCGGUUGAACGAUUUUGCCCUUGGCGACAUCGACCAACUCGUUGUUCACCAAGUGCAGGAGAGUGCACGGAACAUCGGCGGCGCCCUGCGAAAACAUGUAGGGCGUCAGGGAUGCCCAGUCAAAGGCAAGGAGAUGAAGUCCUCGGCCGAGAGAGGCUUAAUUAGUUACCGUGAUGAUGGCGUCGAGCUCGGCUAAUGUCGAGGCACCGCCAACGGCGGGCGUGCAGUUGACGGAGGGGCCGCUUGCUGCAGAGGUGCCGGCCGGCGUACACCCGGGUGCAAUAAGCUCCCGUGCCGGUGUCGGAGACACCAAUGGCGCCUCCGCCGGAGACACCAAUGGCCCCGCCAUCGCAUUCUGCGAGUUGCUGGCCGUGAAGCUAGGAAUCGGGGGCGGCCCCUGUUGGCCGCCCACAAUCCACGCACUCAACCCCUGGAUCAAGGUAGGCACAAUGGCGGUGAUCGUCGCUCCGAGUUGUUGUUGCACUUGCUCUUGGACAAUCUCCGGAAUCCGCGCCACCUGUGCCUUGAGUUCUUGAACCUCGCGCGCCUGGCUUUCCGAGCUGGUCUUUUUCUCCUUCCGCACACCAGCGGUAUAGUAUGACCCCCAUUUUGUGGACAAGCCUUUGCCGGCCACACGACCAGCUGACGUCGGCUUACUGAGCUUAUCCUUGUUCUUCAUUACAUUCAACGCCCUAUUUAGAGUGGUGUCCCAAGGGUUGCUCUUAGUCGACCCCGCGCUACUGCUUUCAGUCGCCUGCGGAAGGAAUGUGAACCAUUUAGAAAUUUGGCUUCAUUAAUUAGAAUGCAACCAUAUGGAGCUAAUUACGCGGGGGUGUAUUCCUUACCAGAACAAGCUCAAGCGCCCUGGUCUUCGGAUCCGUGGUAAGCUCCUUUGUUAUCGGGUCCUCCUUGUACCGGGCCCUGACAUAGUUCUUGGUCUGCUUGUUACCACUGUAUUUCUCGAAGCGGGGCGGUAGGCCUUGCUCGGCACGCUCCGCGUCCUCCUUGUCCCAUAUAGGCUCCGCCACUCUGUAACCGCCGGGACCGAGUUUGUGUUCCCCUAAGUUCAACUCCCGCAUUUCUUUCCCCCACUGACUUGAUUCGGAGUUUGCGGUGCUCGAGCAAUUGAUCUUGAAGUCGUUGUAGUCAUCUUCGGUGAUCGAAGGAUUUUUCUCCUUGAUCUUCUCAGAACUCUCACCUUUCUCGAUCAUUCUCUUCACAUUGCUUUUCCAAGUAGACAGGGCCUUGCUCAUCUUCGUGAGGGCAGCACUGUUCACUUUAUUCCCUUUGAGGCUUCUGUUUUCAAAUUCAGCGGGGAACUUGUAUCGUUCGUGCAGCUUCGUGAAGAGGAGGUUGCGCAAAUUCCCUCGGUCAGGAUGCCUCAGGUUCUCGGUGUUGAUCGAGACGGUGCUCUGAAGAAUGCACCCGAGCUAAAGCGAGUACCCCUUGACUGUUCGUUCGGGCGCCGUUGGAUUCCCGUCGGAGUCCACUUCAGUAACUUCCUCCUUGAGGGUGCGGAGCACGGUCGGGCGCCGGUCCUUCCGUUGCCUCUUCGCUUGGCUGCCAUCUGUGCGUGCGCCGCCAUCAUCAGUGGUGGCAUCCUCGGCGGCACCAUCAGUGGUGGCAUCAGUGGGGUCAUCCUCGGCGGUACCAUCAGUGGUCUCAGGAUCGGUGGGGAAGGCGGCGUCCUCAUACAAGUGAGGUUGUUCCUCCAUCUCCUGGGACAGCUUCCAGAAUGCCUUGCCGCCCGAACCCCCGGCCUCAUCGUUGUUGGCCAUGUUUCUCUCUAAAUAGGAACAAAGUUGGUUAUUGUCAAGGAACAAGAUCAUGGUCUCAUCAUUUAGGGUUUGUCGACACAGAGGCAUCCUAAAAGCUAAGCUUUUAUCAUUGAGGGUUUUUCGACGGCGAGGCACCCUAAAAGCCUAAGCUUUCAUCAUUAGUCACAAGUACCCCGGCCCAUGCAUUAGUCACAAGUACCCCAUAUGUCCUAUUUUUAGCAAAGUCAUGCUAAAAUUCAAGGAAAAUUUCAGCAUGACCUUUGCUGAAAAUAGGACAUAUGGAGUACCCGAAUUUGCUGGAACGGAAGUUAAUCGACAUUCCAACAAACUCAAGGGCCUCUCGGGUGGACAAGGCAAAAAAGGCCUCCAUCACAACAUGGAAAAUACAUUGGCAUGUGAAGAGGUGAAAUAAUAUAUGCAUCUCCAAGCAGUAUCAUUCAACAUUUUGGACAAACCACUACAAGCAACAUGAGACACUGAAAACAAUUGCUACCAAUGAAUCUACACUUCUAUAAGAAAAUAAAUCAGAAACUUAGUCUGUCAUCAUUAGGCAGCCACCAUUAGUUAUUCCGUUAUGUUAAAGCAGAAAUAGAAAAAUAGACUGAAAACACUAAAAUCAGAAACUUAGUGCAUGAUACAGAUGCAAAGUAGGUUCAAAGACAAAUGAAGACCAUAUGGUAAGUACAGCAAGUGAAAUAGGAUCACCAACUAAUAGCUGAAUGAAAGGCAUAUAUAUGACAGGCAUAUUUUCCGGCUACAAAGUGUUGUGGCAAAUAUGCCAGGCACCACAAUGUGAUCACACAAACAAAAUAGCCUCAAACCAGUUAUUCUCGCAUGAUAAUAUGAAAAUGCAUAUGGCACUGCCAAAUUAUACUAUCCAUAUUUCGGUAUAAUGUCAUUAUUCCAUACAGCAGGCAGCACUGUCACCACAAAUCAGUUAUUCUAGCAUAAUAUAAACAGACAGUUGAACUACAUGAUCUCACAUCGAUCAACCAACAGGGAUAAACAGCACAAUCAAAUACCUUUUUUCCAAAGCUUGCUUUUAGUACUCCUAAAGUGUUUUACUGAUUUAGUAUUAAGUUGUAGCAUCCACUUGUUUAGCACCGAAAGAUUAUUGAACUUCCUAUACUAAUAAGACUUACUAGAACGUGUGUGCAGUCAUUUAGAAGUAUCCACUGCCAUGGUGCAUAGAUCAUUUUAGAAGUUUUGACUGACAGAGUACAUAUCUACAGGCCUUUAUGUACAAUCUAAACUGAAACUGCAAACAUUCCAUGCUGCUUCCUACCAAGAUGUCUGAAGAUUAAAACGAUAAAAUGGUUUGAAGAACUAUUCUUGCUUGAUUAAAUGGAGAAACAUUUUAAGUAGUGACUGCCAUGAGUGUGGCAAACCAUGAGCAUUAUGAAUUCCUGGAACAAACCUACCACUGCUAGAACGCUUUAUUUGAUGCAUUUUGUAUCCCAAUUGCAGAACCAUGGAUGAGAGGUAAUUCACUGGAGACGCCGAGCCAUGGAGAACAGAUUUGAACAGCGAGGGGGAUAGGGGGAGAGGAGGAGGGGGAGCUCACGGGGGCGGUNNNNNNNNNNNNNNNNNNNNNNNNNNNNNNNNNNNNNNNNNNNNNNNNNNNNNNNNNNNNNNNNNNNNNNNNNNNNNNNNNNNNNNNNNNNNNNNNNNNNNNNNNNNNNNNNNNNNNNNNNNNNNNNNNNNNNNNNNGUGGUGGUGCGACGAGGUCCGGGAGGCGACGAGGUCCGGGUGGUGGUGGUGCUCCGGCAACGGUGGUGUUGACGGGGCGGCGUCUGGGCCACCGGCGACGAGGGCGGCGGGGCGAUGGCGUCCAACGAGGUGGGGCGACGGGGAGAGCGGCGUCGAGGAGACGAGGACGACGGGGCGGCGGGGCGGCGGCGGCGGGAGAGGAGAGGGCGGCGUCGCGGCGUCGGGGCAUCGGGGCGGAGACGAGGACGAGGGGGCGGCGUCGAGGCGGCGGGGCAGCAGCGUCGGGAGAGGAGAGGGGAAGAGGAUCGAGGGCGAGGGCGAGGGAGAGAGAGGGGAUAGGCUGGGGAGGAAAUAUGGAUGGGGGCGUCACAAUACUAAUGGCGCACCACCCCUCGGUGCGCCAUAAGUACAUCCAUACUAAUGGCGCACCUCGCCCUGGUGCGCCAUUAGUAUUUUUUUUUUGAUUUCUGCUCGAGCCAACAGGUUAUCUUCCACCUGACCUGAUCCACAUCAAGUUCCCUCUACUAGCUUGACUGGUCAGCAGCCAGUUCUCACACCAGGAGGUCUUGGGUUCGACUCCCAGGCUCCACAAUUUUUUUUAUGCAUUUAAAAUGCUAUUUGAUACUUAUUUGUGUUUAAAUAUGUUCAAACUUGUUUAAAUCAUAACAGCAAUAUUUUUUUAUAAGACAGUAAUAAUUUUUUUAAAAAUAUCAUCAAACAGUAAUGCCGGUGGAGCGGGGNNNNNNNNNNNNNNNNNNNNNNNNNNNNNNNNNNNNNNNNNNNNNNNNNNNNNNNNNNNNNNNNNNNNNNNNNNNNNNNNNNNNNNNNNNNNNNNNNNNNNNNNNNNNNNNNNNNNNNNNNNNNNNNNNNNNNNNNNNNNNNNNNNNNNNNNNNNNNNNNNNNNNNNNNNNNNNNNNNNNNNNNNNNNNNNNNNNNNNNNNNNNNNNNNNNNNNNNNNNNNNNNNNNNNNNNNNNNNNNNNNNNNNNNNNNNNNNNNNNCGGCGGCGGCGGUUGAGUAGGGGAAUCGAGGGUGCGGGGGGUCGGCGGCGGCGGCCGGUGGACCAGGGGGUGCUCGGCGGCGAGGGGGACCGGAUCUGGCGAGGUGGGAUAGCGAUCGAAAUGGAGGGGGAUCGAGAUCGAGUGUCCAUGAAAUUUAAAAAUAUUCAUGAUAGUUCAAAAAGUGCCCAUGAAAUACAAUCGAGAAAUGAAGGCUACGAUUUAAAUACAAUCGAUCUUAUCUAGCUAUCCACAAUCUUCUUGCCCUUCUUUUUCGCAAAUGGAGUUCUUCUGUGGAACGGACGUCCUUUAGGUAGGGUGGUCCUGCUUCUUCUUGUGGUGUAUGCUGCUACUUCAUCAUCGUCGUCAUGUUCGAUCCUCGGGUCGCCGUACUUGUCGAAGUCUUGCUCAUUGGCUACUCCAUCCAUUCCGAUGAUCUUCCUUUUGCCUCUCCUCAUGACAACACGACUGGGCUUUGGAGGGUCGGUAAUGAAGAAGCAUUGGUCCACUUGGGAAGCCAGUACCCAUGGCUCAUUUUUCGCGGUGACGUUUGCGCCCGCGGUCUUGGAUUUGGCUUCGGGUAUAACCAUGGUGGUGAAAUAUCGGUCUUCUUUUUGGACGCUCUUGGCCCAUCUGACACGGAACAUCGGCACCUUCUCUCCAGCGUAGCUCAGCUCCCAGAUCUCCUCGAUCCUUCCGUAGUAUCUGUCCUUGUCCUUACCGGUGUAGGAUUCCAUCGUUACCCCAGAGUUCUGAUAACCAUCGCUAUUCAUGUCCUUGUCCUCGGUGUAGAAUGUGUAGCCGUUGAUAUCGUACGCCUCAUAGGUCAUCAGGUUGUGCUCGGCGCCCUGUGACAAGGCGAAUAUGAGUUGUUCUUCCACGGAAGAAUCUUCAUGUAAAGGGUACGACAGAAGCUUCUGCUUGAACCAACGCGUGAAACAUGAGUUGUGCUCUUUGAGUAUAUCUCCGUCCGUCCUCUGUUGGCCUCGGUCAUUGUACGUCUUCUCAAUAAAGGUUUUGUGCUCUACCACCCAAGGAUCGACCACGUCUAUGUGUUGUAGCGCGAGUAGGUUUGCUCUUUCAAAGUCGGCGAGUCGACCCUCGAAGUCGACAUGCAUUUCGCGGCGACCCUCACGGUGACCCCAUCCAGCGAGCCUGCCGAGGUGCCUGUUGACGGGCAGACCAACGGGGUUCUCGAUGCCUAGAUAAUUCGUGCAGUAGGAGAUGCACUCUUCGGUCAGAAAGCCCCUGGCUAUACUUCCCUCUGGACGUGACAUGUUCCGAACGUAUCCUUUAAUGACACCAUUCAUCCUUUCGAACGGCAUCAUGCUGUGCAGGAACGUCGACCCGAGUUGGAUGAUAUCCUCCAUGAUAUGGACCAGCAGAUGCACCAUAACGUCGAAGAAUGCGGGCGGGAAGUACAUCUCAAGCUCGCAUAGUAUCACCACGAUCUCUUCCUAUAGCCUUCUGAGUUGCCUCACGCCAAUCGACUUCCGAGAGAUGACGUCGAAAAAGUUGCAUAGGCCAAAUAGCAUUUCACGGACGUGCGCGUCCAUGACCCCACGGAUUGCAACUGGAAGUAUCUGCGUCAUCAGCACGUGACAGUCGUGAGACUUCAUCCCGCUGAACUUCUGCUUCGCUGGGUCUAGGUAUCUGCUUAUCUUCCCCGCGUAACCGUAAGGAAGUUUUACUCCUAGGAGGCAGGUGAAAAACUGCUCGAUCUCCUCCUAACUUAGAGUGAAGCACGCGGGAGGGUAGUCAUUUCCGGUCUUCUUGGCAUUUUUGCCUUUGCGACGACUUUCUGUGUCCUGCUUCGCCUCAUCAUCAUCAUCAUCAUCAUCAUCAUCAUCAUCAUCAUCAUUAGCCUGAAGCUCCUGCCUGAUGCCCAUUGAUUUCAAGUCUGCCCUUGCUUUCGGCCCAUCUUUGGUCCUCUCUGGCAUGUUGAGCAGGGUACCAAGCAGACUCUCGCACACAUUCUUCGUGAUAUGCAUGACAUCAAGGCUGUGAGGCACACGGUGGAUCUUCCAGUACGGCAAGUCCCAGAAAACAGACCUCGUUUUCCAUACCUUCAGCAGCGGCUCUGGCGCCUUUCGCUUCUUUCCCGGCUCUGGCGCCUUUUGCUUCUUUCCCGGCAGUGGGCAGUCUUUCCAAUUUUUCAACAGCUUGUCUAUUUCACCAUCGAACAGAUCCUUGCGUUUCCUCCACGGGUCAUCGUCGCGAAGCCACCUUCGAUGUCCCAUGAACACGGUUUUCGAAGACCCAGGAUCUCUAUCUAGCUGGCGAUACGUUGUGUCAUCCAUGCACCUUACGCAUCCAGAAAAUCCGUGGACUACCUGCCCCGCGAGAUAUCCGUAACCGAGAUAGUCGUGCACCGUCGUGAGCAGUGCGGCUCUCAUAGGGAAAUAUUCUUUCUCUGCGGCGUCCCACGUAUUGGCUGGCGUUUUCCACAGCGUGUCAAGCUCCUCUUUCAGCAGCCCCAGAUACAGAUUGAUGUCGUUCCCUGAUUGUUUCGGUCCUUCAAUUAGCAUACUCAUGUGAAUGUACUUCCUCUUCAUGCACAACCAGGGGGGAAGGUUGUACAUCCACACAAACACAGGCCAGGUGCUAUGUGUGCUUCUCUGGCUGCCAAACAGAUUGACUCCAUCGGUGCUCGCGCCCAGCACGAUGUUCCUUGGAUCGUUCCCAAAUUCUGGGUCUUCGAAGUUCAACGCUUGCCACUGGCUCGCAUCCUUAGGGUGACUCGGCAUCUUGUCUUUUUAUCUAUCUCCGGAUCAUUUGCGUCAUCUUCUCGCUUCUUCUCCUCCCUAUCCGCGUGCCAACGCAGGAGCUUUGCUACCUUAGGGUCCGCGAAAUACCGCUGCAGACGAGGAGUGAUCGGAAAGUACCACACCACUUUUCGAGGAGCUUUCUUCCUCUUCUUGUAUCGAGUGACGCCGCACACCGGACAUAUGGUAGACUCCGUGUGCUCGUCCCGAUAAAUGAUGCAAUUGUUCAUGCACACAUGGUAUUUCACGUGUGGUAAAUCCAGAGGACACACGAUUUUCUUCGCCUCCUCCAAACUGGUCGGGCACUUGUUCCCCUUGGGAAGACGUUCGUGCCAGAAUGACAUGUUCUCGUCGAAGCAUGCGUCGGUCAUUUUGUGUUUUACCUUCAUCUCCAGAGUCAUGAGCGUUACUUUCAGGCGGGUAUCCUCGGGCCUGCAUCCUUCAUACAAUGGAGUAACCGCGUCUAACUCAAGUUGAUCCAUCUUGGCUUUCUCUCGGGCGGCAGCUCUUGCGUUAUCCGUCUGCUUGAGAAGCAGCUCUUGAAUAUGAGGGUCCUGCACCCAGCCCAUCGAUGGUCCAGCGUCGUCUGCUCCGUCGGCAUCAUCAUCUUCAUGAUCAUGUCCGUCGCCUGCUCCGGCAUCUUCCUCAUCAUCAUGUCCUGCAUCUUCUAAAUGAUGACUGUGUACAGCAUCACCGUCGUGAUCAUCUCCUGGGGAUUCUUCGUCUUCUCGCCCGCCCGAGCCGCGGUGGUUGUCUUGCUGCCCUUCCUCAUUUCUUGCCCGGCCCCCAUGGACGACUUCGUAGUCAUUUUCAUCACCUUGCCACCGAUAGCCAUCCAUGAAACCACGCAAGAGCAGGUGGUCCCGCACCUCCCCGGAAUCCGAGUCCGCAAUAAGGCUCUUCAGCUUGCAUCUUCGACACGGACAUCUUAUCUCCGUCUCGUUCUUUUGAAGCAUCUCGGCCUUCGCAGACCUCAAAAACCUAUUCAUGAUGCCUUCGGUCAUCGUGCGGACCAUGGUCGCCUGCGGGGUAGAGCAAAACGAUAUUUUAGAACCAAGAAAAAAUUUUGCAUGACUUUCCCUAAAAAUAGGACCAAAAAGAAUGCUUAAUGCCAAAAUUCUCGCCGAAACGGAAAUGAAUCAACAUUCCGGCAAAAUAUUGGCAACUAUCGCAUUUCAAAUACCGGUACACCUCCAAAUACCGCAACACCACAAACAUAUGCAACACCAUGAACAUACAUAGAUCUAGCUAUGCCAUAAAAAGUGCAUGUGCACAUUGUUGUAGGGAGAACAACAUAAAUAUAGCUUCUCCCCUUACUUACCUAUCAAAACAAGGUAAUUUAACCACUUAAUUUGAAUGAUUCUAUGGUGGAAAUGAGGUGAAAAAGAGGAGGCACCCGAGACAAGGAGGAGGUGGAGAGAAUGAAGUGGGGAGAAAGUGAGUGUGGGUAGGGGAGGCUGUCCAAAAUAUCUUGUUGCUGCCCACUUACUAAUGGCGCACCAACUCUAAAUGCGCCAUUAGUAAUCCAGGUUACUAAUGGCGCACCUUCUGGCGGUGCGCCAUUAGUAGUUUUGCAAAAAAAAAACAUACUAAUGGCGCACAGUGCGCCAUUACUAGUUUAAACUAGUAAUGGCGCACGGUUGAACAGUGCGCCAUUAGUAGUAUUGCAAAAAAAUGAAUAAAAAAUAUAAUAAAAAAAACAACAUUAGUGGCGCACUUUCCGACAGGUGCGCCAUUACUAGUUACAACUAGUAAUGGCGCACUGAGUCUGGAUGUGCCAUUAGUAUGUUUGGACAGGCGCACUAGUUCAAAAAAAAAUUGAUACUAAUGGCGCACCUUGGACCAGGUGCGCCAUUAGUAGUUUCAACUCUAAUGGCGUAUCAGAAGGUGGUGCGCCAUUAGUAUAUACUAAUGGCGCACCCCUUUUCUGGUGCGCCAUUAGUGUCAAUCCCAUCUAUAGCCUUUUUUCUAGUAGUGAUGAGCAGAGCUUUGUUUUGGCGCAUAUAUAGUGACUACCGUGGAGAAAGCUGAUGACAACUUCAAGCUGAUGAAGGAUUCUUGCGUCCAACUUUCCUUCUCUCCUCUGCAGAAACGCACGUCAGCUUUUAGGAUGCUUGCUUAUGGUAAGGUUGCAGAUGAAAUUGGUACAGAAAUCGGGUUGGGGGAGACUACAUGCUUGAUCACCAUGAUGCAAUUUGAACACCGCGGUGAAGGUGUUUGAACCAGAGUACCUGCGUGAACCAACUAUGGAGGGCAUAGAAAAUUAUUGGUAAUUGGAACAUUCAGAGGAUUCUGUAGUAUAUACGUAUUACAUACACACGGUGGCACGGGUGCAGCAACGUUCCUUCCCGCGUACAGCAGGUAUAGAAGAAGAAACAAGACGACAGUGCUCAGAGGUGUGUUUUCCUAGCCUAUAUGGCUAUACGAAUCCUGUGAGCAAGGUCUGAAUCGACGCCGAGCUAGAGGAAGCGAUGAAAAGCUUGGCAGCCGUUGCUGCUCCUGCGCCGCUGUCGCGGACGGCUCGCCAUGCAUGGCAUGCUAGAUGCUACGUGUACAGGGAUUCACGUACGUCUACGCUUCACAUGGUUUUCGUCCAUCCCAUAUUUUACCGUGUCACAGACACAUAGAGCUGCGAUGUUGCCACGGCAGGCAGGCGACACGGCGUCAAAAAGGCUGGAGAUGCCGCAGGGCUGGGGACGAUGCAAUGGCCGAGAAUAAUUGGAGAGAUUUGUUUGUCUCGGGACGCGUGGACAGGCCGACCCGUGUGCCAUGCAUGCUACUCCAAGCCGAAGAAGGGUACGUAAAGAGCAUCUACAUGUACGGACAGCAUAUCUGGCUCCUCAUAGGUACGUGGACAACCCCAAUUUCCUUCUCAACAUUCGAAUACCUCAUAGUUGAAGCCUUAAAACCAUUGCCAAGCAUACAAAAGAAACAUCUACAUACUGUAUAUCAAUUGAACCUAAAUUAUACUACUCGUUGUCGUUGGAGAUGUCCACGAUGAAGCAUCGGUUGGCCUCCACGUAGGCCUCAUCCUGGAUGGGCUCUAAGAUGGCGGUAUGCUCUGCCAUCUCCGUCGCUUGGGUGACCUCGAACUCUGUCAUGGCGUCCUCCGUGGCGCAGCCCGCAACCGGUGUCGGUUCCUCCAUGUUGUGUCGCAUCCUCCGAAUCCGCCACCUCCAUGGGCACUGGCCGUUGCUCCCCCUCCUCUUCCUCCUCCUUCUCCUCCGGCUCCGUCGAGUCCGGAGGCAGGCCGGCUGCGGUCGGAGCGACACGUCUCGUUCGGAUCUCCUCCAGCAUCUGGAAGCGCUGCUCCGACAUUAGCAUACCGUACAUGGUCUUCUUCUGUCGGGCCAUGGCGGAGGCGGACAACUAGGAAAUAGUGAGGCGGAGAUGGAGAGAAGUGGAAGGGCUCGAGCUGGCGGCGUGGAAAGGGAGAAAGCAGAUGCGGCUAGGGCUAUGGACCCCGUCCGGGUUAAAUAGCCGGACUUUGGCCCUCAGACGGCGAGCCAGAGCGGCGCCACACGGCGUUCGUAUCCUUGCCGACGGAGACGUCCGUCAGACCGUUAGGUUUCUGGGUGAUUUUCUGCGGGACCCUAUCAUCUGUCCGAUGUGACGGACGCGUUCGGACCGUCUCAUAUAAGCCCCAGAUUUGAACUGAAUAUAAGGGGUGCCCUAACGCCUGCCCGAUUUUUAGUUGUGCUGGUCGGGCCGGUGAAAUCCCCCCUCCUGUUGUCCUGGCCCAUGCGGACCGUACGUGCCGCCAAGGAUCUCCUCCCGUUCGUCACGUCCUCUCACCUCGUCGUGCGACCCCACACCACAGCCCGCACAUAGCGCCUGCGGCUAAAACACAAAGAGAAUCAAGAGGGGACGCCUUUCCCUCUGCAAUCUGCAUGUACUCCGUACGGCCGCGGGAUGAACGCGAGGGCUAAAACCAAUUAGCCCACGGGGACGGGGCCUUCGUUCCAACUAGAUGGGUGCACGGGAGAAAAGGCUUAGCCUCAUCUUUUUCACCCGACGCCGGGAGAAUGCGGUACCACUCCACUGAGUGCCAGCCUGAGCUUGCCUAACCCGAUCCAUCCAUGGCGGUUUUCGUAUUCAUUCUCGCGCCAAAACGCGAUCGUCAUCCAUUCAUCAGUAGAUUGGGCCCUGGCCGGUCCAGGCAAACGGCCGCUCCCUCCACUACGGCCCAAGCGCUGGAUGCCAGAUUUCUCUGUUUUAAGCCACAUGCAUGGCUCCCUCCUAUCCCUACCCCUCUCCCUGGGUCUGUGUCUAUCUACCACACGUUCAGAAAUCUGGCUACACGGUACAACGAUAUAUACGUACUCCCUCUGUUUCCAAUUACUCGUCGCUGAAAUGGAUGUAUCUAGAACUAAAAUACAUCUAGAUACAUCCAUACGUGCGACAAGUAAUUCGGAGCGGAGGGAGUAGAUCUUAGGGACUGCCGGCAACUUCACUGGCUGUCAGCGGAUCGAGUACCAUCUCCUUGUUUCUCGAGAUUUCAGUCCAAUUUUGAUUUUAUGGGCGACUUGGUUCUGAAGCGGCGUGAUUUUCAUCCCCAGGAAAUGUUCUGGACGAUCCACAAGCCCAUGAUAAUUGUGCUACCGCGGUAGCAAAUGCUGCUCGCGUGCUUUCAUUGAAGAUAUGCAGUGCGAUCGGUACGUAGAGCUCUCAAGUUCCGUGGUAGUAAUAACAGGUUAAACUGGCUCGCUCGCUCGUUAUUGUCAACAGUGUACUAUAGCAGAUAAAACUACUUCUAUGCAUGUCAAACAGAACGGGCACAUCACAUUCAUCUAGGUUUUUUGUUUUUUUUUUUUUAAUUAUCACCACUUCUAUCCAGUAGCCGAAUGGACUGUGCAGCACCACUGGCGGAUCCUCUUGGGGACCAUACUGGACCAUGGCCCGGUCUAUCAAAAGUGCAAAAAAUAAUCCAUUUGAUCCAUUCCAUCCAAAUUGUUUAUCUGGGCCAGAUAGCAGCUGUCAUCAACUCUCUCCUUGCUACUUUGUUUGCAGGCAAUGCACUAGCAAGCUAGGCCCAACUACCAAUAAAGUCUGAAAGACCGUGUAUUUAUUUGUGCUUGAUUAUCUUUGCUUCGCAUUUUAAACGUCGCCCCUCGCCCCCUCCUAUAUAUUGUGUCACGCUCCAGCACCAUUCGUCUGCUUGUCAGUCAUUGACAUGCUUGCUGACGUUCAGGCUACGGUUUUCCAUUCCCUUUGUUAACUGAUGAAAAGAUUAUAACGAAUCCAAUCCAAAUUCAGAACCCAUCAACAACACCUUUUAUAAUUCAAAUAAGAAAAUAAGAUCACAUACCUUCAGAUUUGGAACUUAAAAUGUUUCUUUUUCUCUGGCACAACACACACGUUAGCUAAAGUAAGCUAAAGUGUCGUGAUCCAAAAGAAGAUACUGUGAAGAAUUACGUGCAAUACACUGCCAAGAGGCGAAGAAAUAACAGCUCCCAUUUUCACAAAUGUUUUUUCACACAUCACAGUAACAACAAAAUUCACCCAUGUCACAUACUCAGCUAGCAGAAGGGCAGAAAAAGAAAGUACUCAGCUAGCAGGAGGGCAGAAAAAAAAAGUACUCAGCUAGCAGAAAGGCAGGAUUUGGAAUCCAUUUUCAAUCUACAAGUUCCACAUGUUACAUUUAUAUACAAAUCCGAAAGGUCCUUUCAACGUGACGGAAAAUAACUGUACAGCCUAGAACCGUAUAUAUACAAAGAAAGAGCACGUGGACCAAUGUGUUCUGCAAAUAUAACAACAUAAUUUCAGGGCAGCGAAAGUUCUUCAGUGCAUUUGACACCUCCUGGGCAAAAAGGUUGGAGGGAAGGACUAAUGCUCCGACUUCCAUGCAAAAUAAUCU
rnacentral:lncRNA from 1 species